rnacentral:lncRNA from 1 species
CAACCACUGUCUAAAGGUAAAAAACUCCCUCUCAAGGUUUAGUUUCUCAGAUUUCAUCAUUCUCUAUUUGGGACACUUGCUAGCUGAUGAAUGUGUAGAAUACUUUGCUUCAAUGUUAUAGUAGUUGAUGCUUUUUUUUUUAUGGGCUCCAUGGAAUGGUUUGUGUAAAGAUAGAUUUAUGAAGUGGGCCUCGGUAAAUUUCACAAUCUAAUGGAUGGAAAAUUGAGCUGAAGGGAAGCUUUAUUCUAUUGAAGGAAGAUAGUAUUGGUUUAAUAAGGGUGUUCUGAGUAUCUCAGUAAGCGGUCUGAAAACCUUUUACAAUAUGUUUGGAUGGAGCGAAAGGAGUUUUUAAAAUGAAGAUAAACUAAUGGAAAGUAAGGUAAUAAAACCUCUAUAACCCACCAAUUUGGUACUUUGGAAAAGUGAGUUUUUGGAGGUUCUAAACGUCUGGAAACCUUACCUCCUUUAAACUAAUAAAAAAAAAAGUCUCCCAAACAAACUCACUACUUUACAAAUCCACAUCUUACUUCCAAAACAUCCACCCAAACAAAUUAAUGUUUUUGGAAUUUCUCAACACGUGUUACAGGGAUUUAGAAUGAGAAAUGGGUGACAUUGGCAAUUGAAUUAAAAAUGUUUCAAUCUUUUUAGCAGUUCAACUUAUUGUCUGGAGCUUGAAAAUUAAUGGCUGAACUGUUGUGAGUCAUCAUUUCUAUAUGAUAUCAUAGCAAGGAAAUUUGCAAUUGAAGAAAAAGUUGAGAUAAGAAUUUUUGUGCAGUUAUUAUAAAAAAUGCAAAUCCCAGAAUUUACAGUAUAUAAGUAACAUCACCAUUUGAUGUUUUGUGAUUAAGAUUGUUCAUUUCUCUAUGAAUAUUUGUUUACAUUUUGGAGUUCUAAUUUUAUUGUUUUCCAUUGUUAAUUUUGAUUGUGUUAUCCAGAUACAUUGCCAGAGCCCAGAGGUGAUAAUGUUGUUGUGUAGAUUUAAGCCUUUUUUAUAUAUUUUUUUUCUUUUGGUAAUGGUUUUGUAGAUUAACCGGCUUUCUUUGGACAUGAAGGUAGAUACUUUUGAUAAAUUAGCUGACAACUUUGGGGCUACAUGACAAGCUUCUUUUUGUCUGUAUGUUUGGAGGAAGUAUAACAGGUUUCUAGUUGAUAUUGCUAUCAUGCCUUCUUUGAAAUAAGUUCUCUGCAUAUUUUCCUUUUUCAAUCAUUUGUAUGAUUUAACUGAAACCUAAUCCAACAUAUCCCACCAAUCUGCUUAUUGACCUAUAGCCUAAGAAUAAGGAAGUCGAUUCCCUUAUAUCUUAACUGUGCAUAAGGAACUCAAAAUCUAUAGACUACAAGUGAUGUGUUGCAAGGUGUUUCGACCAAUUGAAAUGCUAAAAUAGUAGCAUCCGAUAAUAUGUUAUAUUCUUCUCUGUAUAUUAAUUUACGGAUUUACAUAAUUUAUUUCAUUGGGCAGAAAUCUCCCCUAUUAGAAUAAUAUAAAAAAGACCAUACAACUCAUGAAUCUCAAACACCACUGCCAUCCUAGAGUGAAGAAAAAAUGCAAAUGCCGUCACUUAUGAAAAUUGAGCUCAAAUAUUCACAUAGAAAAAGUGGAUCCAGGGAAAACAAAUCUUAACAAAGGAAAGCAAGUCCACAAACAACCCAAAUAAAACAGUAGAUGAUGUAAUGUAAGCCACAAUCUCAGCAAAUCAGAAAACCCCGAAUAUUAGCAAUCUAUGAAUCUGAACACCCAAAGUUAACAAUCUUUGAAUCUGAAAACCCAAAAUUAACAAUCUCAGCAAAUCCUCUGAAUCCGAUACUUCAAUAUCAAGACAUAAUCGAAAAUGAAGUGCUUAGAGAACCAGCAAAACUGAGAAAGUAAUAAAAUUAACAACCUCCGCAAAUCUGAAAACCCACUAACCUGCGGUGAUGUAAUCGGGACCGUGAGUGGACGUUGAAGGAUUAUGAGCAAUUAAACACACACUAACCUGAAAUCCAAACCACAAGAACACAAAUCUCAGCAACCUCGAACCCAUAGAAUCCCAAACCCACAAACAUAGCAACACAAACCAAGAGAAACAUAACCUGCAGAAACAGUAGCAGCGGGGGCAACUGAGAGGAGCCCGAGAGAGAGAGAGAGAGAGAGAGAGAGAGAGAGAGAGACCGCGAAGAGCCGGGGGGUGAGAUCGAGAGGAGAGGGAGGGAGACCGAUUGUCAGGGUUUAGAAUGUUUGUUUCUACUUUGACGUUUUUACUAGGAAGAAUUAUUAUUUAGGUACCAUAUAAUUACAAAAUUUAUGAGUUAAUUUAUCAAUUUAACAAAAUAUCUGAAAAAUAAUUUAUAUUUAAAAAAAAAAUUUUAAUAUAUUUUUUAAAUAAUUUAUUUUUUAUUAUUUAAUUUUAAUUUAAAAAUAAAUUUUAUUAAUAAAUUUAUAUAUAAAAGUUUUAAUAAAAAUUUUUUGAUGAAAAAUUAUUUUUUUAAAAUAAUUUAUUUUUUAUUAACUAAAUUUUUUAAAUAUUUUAUAGAUUAAAAAAUAUUAAAAAAUAUUUUUAUAAAAUAAACAUAGUCCAAAACAUUAUUAGUGUUAUAAAAACUCUCAUUAAUUUAUGCUAUGAGUACUUUUAUUAUUAGCAAUCAAGAAUUUCAUGGUUUUAUUGAAAAUAUAAAGUAAUUUCCUAUAAAUUAAUUCUUUAAUAUAUUCUUAUGGUUUUUUUAUCUUAUCUAUGAUUAUAAUAAUUUGUUCAUAUGUUUAAUAUUAUUUAUAAUUUUUUAAAUGAGAUGUUAAGAAUAAAUUUGGUAUUUAGUAUAAAGAAAAAAGAAAAGGUAAUUUCAACUCUUUUUAUUUAGUAAAAUUUUCUUUUAUAUUUUAUAACAAAAUUUGAAUUUAAAUAUUUAUAAAUUUCUAUGGUAUUUUAUUUAUUUCAAUAGUUAUUGAACUCUUUUCUAAGAUUUAAAUAAUUUAUUUUUUAAUUUAUAAAUAGAGAUUUAAUGCCGUUAUAGUUUUAGGGAUUAAGUGACUAUUUUAAAAAAUUUGUGGAUUUAAAUAGUUAUUAUAAAAUAUUUAAAAGUUUAUAUGAACCUUUUUUUUUAAGAGUUUAAAUGAUUUUUUAGUAAUUUUUGAAGGGUUUAAAAGAAUUUUUUUGCUCUUCUUUAAAAUAUUGUUUAUAAAAGCAAUAAUAAAAUCAUAAAAUUUAUAUUUAAAUAAUUUUUAUUAGCAUAGUAGUUAUAUAAAGAUAAUGAUCACUUUCAUAAAUUUAGUGUCGUAUUAACAUAUGUAAACUAAUAAUAAAUAUUAUUAUUAUUGUUAUUAUUAUUAUUAUUAGAAUGACAGAUAUAUAUAGCAUAUGAAUAUUAACAACAAAGUAAUAUAGAGAAGGGAAGAUAUACAUAUUAGAAAAAAUAUUAUUUAAUUCUUAUAAUAUAAAAAUUUAUUAGCUAGUUCUUCUAUUUUAAAAAAUAUAUUUAAAUAUUCUUAACAUUAUAAAAAAAUUUACUAUACUUUUUUCAUUAAUUUUGACGGUAAUUAUUUUAUUAUUUAAUUUUUAUAAUUUAAAAAAAUUUAUGAGUUGGUCUUUUAAAUUUUUAAAAAAAAUUAUUAAUUAGCCCCUUAAUAUUAAGAGUAUUUUAGACUUUUUAUAAUAUGAUUAAAACUAACGGAGAGACUAACUAGUAAAUUUUUUAAAAUAUUAAGAAUAUUUUAAUGUAUAAUCUGAUAUCCAGAGAAAAUAGGGUUUUACAAGGUUUUUAGAAUAAUAAAAAACUUAGAGCUUAGGGGAAGAUCAUUCUCCUUUUAUUUCUUUUUCUCUUAUGCCAGUGACGUGCAACGGCCUGACUAUCAUUGGACCACCUGUCUCUGCCAUAUUGAUACGAUUGUACGAGGAUAUCCGGUAUCUGUCUCGUGCGUAACAGCCUCUGAUUCCCUUCGUGCGUGUGUAAAUGGGUCUACAAGGCUAAAGGUGGGACUUUCUUUCCGAUUCUGGGCUGGACCGGGAGAUAGGAAUAAUAUUGAGCCCAAGGAGGAUCAGCCUGAGAAGCAGUGAGGGCUGGGCCGGCCUGAGAGGCAAUGGGAACUGGGUCGGCCUGGUUGAGAAAUCCAUAUGGACCCUGUAUCAAGGCACAAACGGGCUGGACCUAUUUGUAUUGGGGUCGCGUGGGCCUCCGAGUGAUGGGUCGUGAUUGAGGCUUGAUCCCUGACCGGGGUGGAGAAAUCCAGCGGUCAUCAAUUGCCCCUUUACCUUCUCGGCAGUUAUUGCCCCAACUGUCGAGGGGGUAAACAUCAAGAAUCAUUAUGACCGCGCCUGUUUGAAUUCAGCUUGCUCCAUAACGCCCUUUCAUUUUUUUGUCACUUGUAGCUUUAAAUCCUCUCUGUCUUUUUUCUAUUUCUAGCUUUUCUCUGUUCUUCGUGCAUAUUGUUGUCUUCACUUUCUUGCCUUUAUCUUCCAGGUACGCUUUCUUUCCUUUCUUUUGAAUAGCCUUUAAGGAUUCUGAUGUCGCUAGCCUAGAGUAUAACGUCGCCCUGUCUCACAUUAAAAUCUCAGCCUCCGGCUAUAUAUCAAUAACACCUCCUUCUCAGCCUCAGGCUCUUUAUCGGGACAAAGGGAUCCCUCUUUCCGAUUCUCCUCCCUCUGGUUCAAUCGAUCUUCAGAAAGGUGCAAGUUUAGUUUUUUUUGUCAUGUGGAAGAGGUAUGGUUUAUCCUUCCCUUAUCUCCUUCUUUCAACGGGGUUUUCCAAUAUUUCGGGAUUGUUUCUCGGACGCUAGCCCCUGAUUUCACUCUCUUUAUGUUUUCUUUCGAAUCUGCUCUGUCUUUCAUGGGGGUCUGCUCUAACAUUGCUUUUGUGAUUUUUGCAGCCUUUGGGGUAAAGAUGAAUCGAAUUAAGCCCCCUAAGAUUCUUACGCCGCCCAUAGGGAGCUUGAACGUUGCUUCAGAUGUCUUCCUAACGGGGUGAUUAGCGGGGGAGGUUACUCGACGAGUCGCCAAAAUCAUGUUUUUCAGGUCGUCCAGACGGCCUCCUCCCCUUGCUCCUGUCUGAGCUCCGAAACCGAGUUUUCGCGGUGCCGAAUCUUUAAGGCGGCCAAGUAUUGACAAGUCCGUUUCAGCCGUGCUGGUUGUUCAAGCUCUCAGGUUCUCUCGGGCUUCAGGGCCGAGCGAGGACUCCGGUUUGACGACAGCGAAGCCUGCCCCGUCUUUUGGCGAUACUUCUGGAGAGAGGCCUGAGGCCUUUAUAGCUGAGAUGAGGACCCUUGCAAGCUGGGCUGAGAUCGCCUCUGCGAGGAAUGUUUAUGGGGUCCCUUCCGAGGUCGGUCCGACUGACGAGGAUAGGGAACCCGACUUUGUGGAUGCUGGGGGUGUAGCGGAGAAGGUCGGAGGCAAGUGUCCUAUUCUCCUCAAAGUGUUUGUCUUGGUUCGUGCUCCAAAGAAGUCUUGGGCUUCCGGAAGAUCGGCUCCUGUCUUUCUUUCUCCCGGGGAGGAGGAGAGGAUUCUCGUGGUGCCCCUGAUGUCUGCUCCUGACUCAAACUCAUGGAAUAACAUGGUUUCUGAGGCUUAUUAUGGGAUACAAGAUGCUGUUUACACACGUAAUAUUAGCAAGGGUAAUCUGAUAAAAUUAGUCCAACAUAGUAUGUGUGUAGAUUUGCAACAUUCACUUGUUCCAUUGCUCUUCAGAAUGCCUCGCCAAUUUUCCUCGGCUUGCUCAAGUGUAUCGUGCAUCACACUUGGGCGUCAGGAAGCCUGCCUAUGACGGAACAGUGAGAGAUGCUUAUGGGGAUUAACUUGUUCAACUCUCCUAUAAUAACGAGAUAGAAUUCGGUUGGUGAGUAGGGGACCUCUAAGGGAUUAGAAAGAGUCCGCCGAGCUAAAAGGGGAACAGGGUAGAUAAUAGCGCCUCUGGUUGUGUAAGUCCUUUGAGGACAGCUCUUUCUUCAGUGGAGUAGGCACUUGUAACAUGCUAUAAAUGUACUUUUCUUUUAAUGAAACUUUAGUUUUACUUAUUUUGCUUGCUGUUUCAACUUCAUCGGACUACUUAUUCUGUUAAACAGUCUGACUUGUUUAAAUUUUAAAGAUUUGACAAGAAACACUUAAGCUGUGCUUAAUAAACUUUGUAAAGAAUUGACUACAUCGUUUUUCAUCCCUUUGUCUCUCAGCUAAUAAGGCUGAAAAUUUUAACCAGGGAUUUAGUCUCUGACUCAUAAACUUUUCUUUUUUCACAAGGCAUUCUUAUCCGUAAGCUCUUUCCGAGCUGGGUUGGCCGCACUUUACGAGCUCUGUUUUUAACAGUGACAAGGCGUUCAAUUUACAAGUUUUUAUCCUUGUUACUUUAUUAAUGUAAGAUCGGGCGUAUAGCCUUUGCUGAGUAAUAAUGAGUCAAAUCAUGUACCUGUCGCGAUGAUGAGCAGGGCUCAUCUUUCUGCCUUUAGUUCUGUCUUGACAGGGACUGGAGCUGAGGUUUUAUCUGCUUCGUGCCAUUGGAUUUUCCUCAGAUUGCCCCCUUUACUUCCUCAGUAUUUAUUACAUGAAUAGUGAGGGAGUAAAUCCCUGUACUUUAUUUGUACUUGCACGGCUUUCUUUUAGGCGAUUUUACUUUGCUUUCUGGUUGUGAGCUUGGAUGUCUGGUCCUCCUCGAGGUGAUCCUUCGUCAGGCGGUGCAACUUAAUCUGCGUGCUCCAUUGGGACGGGGAGGUCGGCCUUUGUCAUUUUCCUUCUUCUUGGGUUAUUCUUGCUAAAUGUUUGUUCAUGGCAAACUGACUCGUGCUGUGAGCACAGUCCUUUGCCCUCGUUUAUCCUCUUAUAUGUUCCUGCAUUUAUAGGCCUUUUCAUAGAGGGAGCUCGGUUCUCUGUUAUUUUCUCUAUACUUAGCUUCAUUCUACCUGAGUGUUGCAUGUUGCGAGUCUAUCCGAGCUGGGAGCUCGGUUCUUUGUUCUUUACUUAGGCUUUUAUGCCUACAGUCUGUAACGCCUCUUGUAUCGCUAGCUCGGGAGUUCAGAAUUUCGCUUUGGUGCCCCGAGCUCGUUUGUGAGGUCGGACUUGGUUUGGGAGCUCGGUUCCUUGCCCUAUGCUUAGGCUUUUAUGCCUACAGUCUGUGAUGCUUCUUGUACCCCUGAGUAUUUUCCGGGCUCUUUGCUGUUUAGACCUUUCUCUAGGCUAGUUGAGCUAGUUCAGUUCCAGCGGUCAAUUCGUGAGGUUGAUGUAGUACCGAGCUCAUUUUUUGAGGUCGGCAUGGGGCUGUGGCGCUCUUGGCUAUUGUGCCCCGAGCUCCUUCGGGAGGUUAGAAUCUGGUUUUUCAUUGGUAGCUUAGGACUCAUCUUUCACGUGAGAUCGGAGCUGUGUUUUUAUGAGUUGUCCCUGCACAUGAUAUUGAGAAUUUUUGCGCCGGGAGGCCCUUAAGACCUUCACCGACCGUUUUUGUUUUGUUUUCCCGGGAGUUCUAGGGGAUCCCGUUCUUCUUUGUUUUCCCGGGAGUUCUAGGGGAUCCCAGUCUUCUUUGUUUUCCCUAGAGUUCUAGGGGAUCCCGGUCUUCGUGCUCCGGGAAGUCUUUUAAGAUCCUCACCGGCCGUUUUUGUUUUGUUUUUCCGGGAGUUCUAAGGGAUCCCGGUCUUCUUUGUUUUCCCGGGAGUUCUAGGGAAUCCCGGUCUUCGUGCUCCGGGAGGUCUUUUAAGAUCCUCACCAACCGUUUUUAUUUUGUUUUCCCGGGAGUUCUAGGGGAUCCCGGUCUUCUACCUCUGAGGUCUCUAUGUCUCAGGGUCUUCAGUGCCAGGAGAUCAUGGGGAUCCUGGACUUGUAUCCGGGAGAUCUUGGGGAUCCCGGUCUUCUACCUCUGAGGUCUCUAUGUCUCAGGGUCUUCAUAUUCUGUUCUUUCUUUUUAAAAGAGAAGUGACAUUCAUAAUACAGAUAACAUCAUUGGGUAAAGAAUGUCGUUAUUUUAUUCAUUUGUGUUUUUCAGAGUACAAUAUUUUUCUUUACAAAUAUUUCAAGGGAAAUACCUCUUCAAGUGCUAGAUAUUCCAGGCAUGGGGCUCAGGGUUUCCCUGCAUAUCUUCAAUUCGGUAUACUCCUGGCCUAACCACUUUUGCUAUCCUGAAUGGGCCCUCCCAGGUCGGUGCCAACUUGCCCACUGCCGCUCUUUUUCCCGUAGCUUCCAAGUUUCUUAGGGCUAGGUCCCCUACCUUUAAACUUCUUUCCCUGACCCUUUGGUUGUAGUAAUGGGCUGCCCGUUGUUGAUAAGCAGCAGUUCGGACUUGAGCUUCCUCCCUAAUUUCUUCGAGAGCAUCCAAUUUGCUCCUUAAUUUAUCGUCGUUAGUGUUCUCGUUAACAAAUUGGACUCGAUGAGUGGGGAUUUACAGCUCGACUGGGACUACGGCCUCUGUGCCGUAAGCAAGUGCAAAGGGCGUUUCUUUAGUGGACGCUCUAGGGGUAGUUCGGAGUGCCCACAGGAUACUGUUGAGCUCUUCUGCCCAGUUCGCCUUUGCCCCAUCCAGUCAUUUCUUUAAUCCUUGGAGGAUAGCUCUGUUGGUAACCUCUGUUUGACCAUUAGUUUGAGGAUGGGCUACGGAGGAGAAUUUGUGCCAUAUGCCCACGUUCGUCGUAAAUGCUCUGGAGGUGCUGCAAUCAAAUUGUCUGCCAUUGUUAGAUAUGAGCACUCUCGGUAUGCCAAACCUGUAGAUGAUGUUUCCCCAUACGAAGUCUAUCAUCUUGCGAGCUGUGAUCGUGGCUAUUGCUUCCGCCUCUGGCCAUUUUGAGAAGUAUUCUACAGCCACCACCACGAAUUUUCUCUGCCCCGUGGUCUUGGGGAAGGGUCCCAGGAUGUCUAUUCCCCAUUGCGAGAAUGGCCAUGGACUGGAUAUGCUGGCUUGAGGAGUGGCUGGGACUUUGAUGGCGUUAGCAAAUCUUUGGCAUACGUCGCACCUUCGGACAAACUCUUCUGCUUCUCUUUUAACAGUGGGCCAGUAGUACCCUUGCCUGAAUAUUUUAUUGGCUAAUGUCCCUGUCCCUUCGUGAGCUCCGCACAUUCCCCUGUGUAUCUCUUCCAUCACCUUUGUAGCCUCUUUCGGGCUCACACACCGGAGCCACGGGCUGGAUUUCCCUUUUCUGUAUAAGGUCCCCCUUACUGCUUGAUAGUUGGCAGCACGAGCUGCUAUCUUUCUGGCUUCGUCCUUAUCCUUGGGGAGCUUUUCCUUCUCCAGGUAUUCUAGGUAUGGGGUCAUCCAAGUCGGGCUUUGUUCCACCUGCAGUACCGUGUUUGUUUUACUAAAAGCAGGCGUAUGGACGUGUUGUAUGUACACUUCAUCGGGGAGCUGUUCUAAUUCUUCUUUGGACAACUGACUAAGCAAGUCUGCUUCCUCAUUUUCUUCCCGUGGUAUUCUUCGAAAUUUGAUUGUAACUCCCCGAUCUAUGAGUUCAGCCUCUAUUGCUUUUACUUUUGCCAGGUAGCUCUGCAUGGUUGGAUCUCUGGCCUGAUAUACCCCAGUUAUCUGAUUGACCACCAGUUGUGAGUCGCUAUUUACUUCGAGGUCGGUUGCCCCUACCUCCAUUACCACCAGUAUCCCGUUUAUUAGGGCUUCAUACUCCGCCAUAUUAUUGGAGGCUUUAAAUUCUAAGCGUAGGGCGUAGCAAACCUUAAAUUCUCCGGGCCCCUUAAGCAUUAUUCCAGCACCGCUGCCUCCGGCGCCUGAAGCUCCGUCUACAUAUAACUUUCAGCUGAACUUUUGGGAGAGUUCUUCCUUUCUUUCCUUCCCCGAUACUUCUGAAGAUGAUUCUCCUUGUUCCUCACUGAAUGUGCACUCUGCUAUGAAGUCGGCAAGGGCCUGAGAUUUUAUAGCUGUUCGAGGUCGAUACUCUAGGCAGUAGGGACUAAUCUCAAUGGAUCACGCUAGCAUCCAGCCUGAGGUCUCUGGUCUAUGCAGAAUCUUCUUCAAAGGUUGAUCUGUCAUUACUACUCCUUGGUGGCUUUCCAGAUAAACCCUAAACUUUCGGACUGCCAGUAGUAGAGCGUAUGCUAUCUUCUCAAUAUUCAAAUAUCUGACCUCGGCAUCUUUAAGCACCUUGCUGACAUAGAAAAUAGGCUUCUGCUCUCCUUCUUCCACCCUUACUAAUACGGUGCUGACUGCUUGUUCAGAGGCUGCCAGGUAUAUCAGAAGUUCCUCGCCUUCUAUGGGACUACUAAGCACGUGAGGCGAGCUGAGAUAACUUUUGAGUUCUUUGAAGGCUUCUCGACAGUCUUCUGUCCAUUCGAAGUUUGGCAUUUUCCUCAACUUCUUGAAGAACGGUAAACACUUUUCUGCCGACCUCGACAUGAAUCGAUUAAGUGCCACUACUCUCCCGGUCAGUCUCUGGACGUCCCUCACACAUGUCGGUUCUGGCAUAUUCAAUAUGGCCUCUACCUUCUCCGAGUUGGGCUCGAUGCCUUUCCCACUCACCAUGUAUCCCAGGAAUUUUCCUCCUCUGAUGAAGAAGGCGCAUUUCACUGGAUUCAGCUUCAUUCUGUACUGAUCUAAUAUUCCGAAUACCUCCCUCAAAUCUGCCACGUGCUGUUGGAAAGUUAGGCUCUUGACCACCAUAUCGUCCACAUAAACUUCUACGUUUCUGCCGAUCUGAUCUUUGAAGAUUUUGUUUAUCUGUCUUUGGUAAGUUACCCCGGCGUUUUUCAAUCCGAAAGGCAUGGCUCUAUAGCAAUAAGUCCCAUCUUUUGUUAUGAAUGAGGUCUUUUCUUCAUUCGACCUGUCCAUUGGGAUUUGAUGAUAACCAGACAUUACGUCCAAAGACGACAUAUAAUCGAAGCCGGCCGUAGAAUCAACCAUUUUAUUAAUAUCAGGGAGGGGAUAACAAUCUUUAGGGCAAGCUCGAUUCAGGUCAGUGAAAUCUAUACACAUCCUAUAUUUGCCAUUGGCUUUUUUGACUAGUACAGGAUUAGCUAACCACUGCGGGUACAUGACUUCCCUAAUAAAGCCUGCCUCUUCUAACUUCUGCACUUCCUCCCUGGUGGCUUGUUGCUUCUCCCUUCCUACCACCCUCUUCUUCUGCUUUACCGGCCUGGCUUCGGGGAGGACGUUCAGCUUAUGGGUUAUCACUUCAGGAUCAAUUCUGGGGAUGUCAGAAGGCUUCCAGGCGAAGCUUGACGCGUGACUUCGGAUCAAGGCCAUGACCUCGGUUUUCUGUUCUUUGAUGAGGCCGGCGUUAAGACUAAAGACUUUAUCUGUUUCUGCUUCUGUUAAAGGAAAAGUCUCCAGUUCCCCCACCGGCUCUGUCCUGGCUUCUGUUUUCUCGUCUCGGACCUCCAGGACUUCUAAAUCCAGCCUAUCUUCUAUUGAGCUCGACUCUGCCACCGUAGCUAGGUACACUGCCCUUGCUUCCUCCUGGCUUCCUUGAACUAUUCCCACCCCUGCCUCUGUUGGAAACUUCAUUGCCAGAUAUCUGAUACUGGUGACGGCCUCAAAGUCAAACAGCGCAGGUCUUCCCAUGAUCGCGUUGUAGCUCAAGGGGAGUUUAGCCACCAGGAACACCGUAUAAUGGGUGCGAGUCCUUGGUGCUUCUCCUAAAGUAAGGGCUAGCUUUACUUUCCCUUCCACCUUUACUGGCGUUCCUCCAAUUCCUUUAAUCGGGGCCUGAUCCCGAACCAGCUGCUCUUCGGGGAUUCCCAUUUGCUAGAAGACUUGAUAAGGUAGCAGAUUCACCUUGCUCCCGUCAUCCACCAAGAUCUUCUUUACCCGGUAGUUGUGAAUGACAGCUUCAAUGACAAGGGCGUCGUCAUGGGGCAUCUGAACACCCUGGGCAUCCUCUGGGGAGAAAGUGAUGACCGUUGGAGAGUGUAUGACGACCUGCAUGACCUCAGCGCUGCUGCUUUCUCCCUCUCUACUCCUCUUUUUCCCCCUUCGACUCAUCCGACCUCCUGUGCCUCCGACGAUCAUAUUGAUGGUCCCGCUGGACCCGUCGUUUACGGGGUUAACUCCCGUUCUCCUCGGCGCUUGGACUGCCGGAUUGGGCUGGGGUCUCUGUCCUUCUGGUUUCUUCAUGAAGUUCUUCAGGUGUCCCCUUUUUAUCAGCCUCUCGAUUUUCGUGAUCAACUGAAACAGUUAUUGGUGUCGUGACCAUGAGUACGAUGGAACUGACAGUAUUUGUUAGGAUUUCGCUGGUCGGCUUCCGUUCUCAGGGGUCUGGGCCACUGAAAGAGUUCUUUAUCUUGGACGGCCAUGAGCACUUCGGCUCUAGAAACGUUGAGGGGAGUCGGUGUUUCUGGGACCCACGAGGGGAGUGACCUUUGUUCUGAGGCCCGAUGAGGGAGAGGUCUUUGGUCCCUUCGCUCCCAGGGCUGUCUGUAAGGCUUAGGCCUUUUGCCAUGUCUCUUCUCUUGCUUCUCCGGCCUCCUUUCCUCCGGGGUUUUCUCCUUACCUGCCACUCCCUUGGCGAAUCGGCUUGUCACCAAGGCGUCAUCCUGCCUUAUAUACUUAUCGGCCCGUUUCAUCAACUCGGCCAGUGAGGUCAGAGGCUUCCUAUUUAAUGAGCCAAAGAACUCUGCUGAGGUCGUCCCCUUCUGCAUGGCUUCUACAGCCCUUCCUUCAUCGAGCUCGGAGAUCUGCAGGGCCUCCGUAUUGAAACGAGCUACGUACUCCCUGAGUGAUUCGUCUCUUCUCUGCCUGAUUGUCUCCAGGUAGCUCGUCUUCCUAUCUGCGGGCACUCCGGCAAUAAACCGGCUGAUGAAGCGAGUGGCCAGAUCCCCAAAACUGUUGAUACUCCCAGCCUCGAGGCUGUUGAACCACGCCCGUGCUGUCCUCGAGAGCGUCAUUGGGAAUGCCUUGCACAUCAAGGCAUCUGAUAGAGUCUGCAGCUCCAUGAAAGUCUUGAGUCUUGUAGUUGAGGACAUGCUCUCGGGGGUUUCCGGCUCCAUCAUAAGCCGCCAUUGAUGGCAUCAUAAACUUCUUAGGAACAGUCUCCUGUUGCACCCACUUCGAGAAAGGUGAAGAAGUGGGCAGGAAGGUUUGGCUCUGAUCCUUCUUUCCCAGUUCAGCCAAGAGCUGCUCUCUCAGCUUUUGCAGCUUUUGGUCUACAUUCUCAUCUUCCAGCCUGGGUUUCUUCUCCAGGUGGUAUUCCUCCUCCUCUGCUUCACUUCUCGUUCACCCGGUUGUCUCGGCGGAAUAGUUGUCAGCCUCAUCAUUCUCUAUCAUCUCCCUCACCCUCCUUCCAUGGACUCGGGCCUCCGGCUCUUCCUCUUCCCCGGCUCUUCUCCCCUUUUCUCCGGUACUAUGGCUGUUGGUUUGGAGGCGGUCAAGGGCAGGUUGGGGCUCAUUGGUUUGGGGUUCUUCUACCACUGGGAGUGUAUUUAUCGGGGUGCUGAGGCCCCUUUGUUGCAUUAUCUGCCCCAACCAGUGGACGGUGUUCUGUAGUUGGAGGGCCAUGGUUUGAAGGUCCUAGUUAGAUAAGGUGGUGGUGGGAGCAUUCCCUGCCAAGCUUGGCGAGGGAUCGAGAGGAAUAGGUGUUUGGUUAUUUAGUGUUGUAGGACUAGAAAAGGAGAACUGCUGCCCCUCCUGGGCAGAGCUCAGGUCAUUUGGGAUGUUAAGAUUGCUUUCAUUGCGAUUGGCCAUCGUGGAUCUCAGUGGGUUUUAUUAAGAGUGGAACUCCGGUGAUGAAAAGAUCUCCUUUGUUCCCACAGACGGCACCAAUUGAUAAUUUGAGAUCCAGAGAAAAUAGGGUUUUACAGAGGUUUUUGGAAUAAUAAAAAACUUAGUGCUUAGGGGAAGAUCAUUCUCCUUUUAUUUCUUUUUCUCCUAUGCCAGUGACGUGCAAUGGCCUGGCUAUCAUUGGACCACCUGUCUCUGCCAUAUUGAUACAAUUGUACGAGGAUAUCCGGUACCUGUCUCGUGCGUAACAGCCCCUGAUUCCCUUCGUGCGUGUGUAAAUGGGUCUACAAGGCUGAAGGUGGGACUUUCUUCCCGAUUCUGGGCUGGACCGGGAGAUAGGAAUAAUACUGAGCCCAAGGAGGAUCAGCCUGAGAAGCAGUGAGGGCUGGGCCGGCCUGAGAGGCAAUGGGAACUGGGUCGGCCUGGUUGAGAAAUCCAUAUGGACCCUAUAUCAAGGCACGAACGGGCUGGACCUAUUUGUAUUGGGGUCGCGUGGGCCUCCGAGUGAUGGGCCGUGAUUGAGGGCUUGAUCCCUGACCGGGGUGGAGAAAUCCAGCGGUCAUCAAAAUUAAAAUUUUUUUUGGAUUAAAUAGUAAUUUUUUUUCUAUAAAAAAAUAUUUAAAGAAAAGAGAAAUCAAACUCUAAUUAUUAGGAGAUUUUAAAUAUACUUUUUUAAUCCGUCCAGUGGAUGGUGAACUUAUGUAAAAAAUAUCAUAAUAGAAUGAUCAAAAGAUAUAAGUAUAUAAUAAAAAAAUAUUAAAAAUAUGUUUUAAAGUUUACAAACUGUGUAUUGUUUAAUUUAUUAAAUUUCAAAUCAUACUAAAAAUACCACUAAUAUGUAAAAAUAUAUUAGUAGUUUAUUAAUAUACUUUAACAUAAUCCGAACAGGUGAUAUUUAUGAAUUAUUCGAAUCUAUUCCAUUAAAACACAAGAAAAUUAAGAAAGAAAAAGAAGUGGAUAAACAUACAGCUUUUGAUGAUGUGAAAGAUGAAUAUAGCUACAUCCAUAUUCUGAUUUGAGUGACUUAAGCAAACUGGGUUGACGAUUUGCAAUUCUCCAUGCAUAGGUUUUCAUUACAAACUCAUAUGAUAACAUAAAAAUAAUAAGAUUCAUUGAUAAAAUAAAAAUAAUAAGAUCCGUUGAGAUAGUGACACAUGAAUGUAGAGUAUGAUAAGACUUUAUGCAUUAUUUUAUUCUGUUUGAGGAAAGUCCAACCUAAAGGAUAUAAAAAUUAAAUUUCAGCACCUUAGAUCUUACUAUUAUUCAGAUUAGGUAGGCCGAUCAUUUUAAAGCCCAUAAUCAACGAGUAGAUCUCUCUUAAAUACGUAGGACAUCAUUAGGGUCAUGGUUGUCUAUGUGAUAGAAUUGACAAACAUGACACGCGCGAUGGACAAGUCAUUGGCUAACCGACUCCAUUAACGAGCCGUCUGACAUAUCUGCCGCAACACACUAUUAUUCAAUCUAAGGGGACGUCAACAAAAACGUACCAAGAUGAACCAAUCACAUUCAAAGACAGAUUUUUCAACUUUACCAGUAUAUUACAAACACAAAUCCUUCUCUAAACCUCAAUCUCGACGAAUCGAAUUUCAAUCUUAUUAAUUUCCAAUCAUCUAUCCAAAUUUAUUAACUUUCCCGUGAAAUCAAGCUUAUUGUCCACGUCUUCUUGAAUCCAUCGAAUCUAAGAUAUCAUCAUCAAAAGCUGUAAGAGAAGAAAUUAAUGCAAUUGAUAAAUGAACAAUGAAAAAGAAUUUAAAAUAAAAUGAAAAAUCAAAGUCUAAAUUAGUUCCAUGCAGCAUUACCAUAAAGUGACAGAUCUCUCAAGAGUCAAGACUUUAUGCAAUUCUCUCAAAGCUCCACCUAAAACCUUUCUUGAAUUGAAAGCCAAGCCAAAGCCUUUCACAAGUAAAUGUAAGAUAAAAGAGCAUCAAGUAAUAGAGAGAUAGUGUGUGCAAUAUUAGGUAUGAUACUGUUUAAAAUAUAAAAAUAAAAAAUCACAGAAUUUAGAGAUACACAUGUAUUAGCAAUUUUUUAUAACACAACAUCAAAUACAAAUAUUAUUAGAUUCAACAAUUGCCAUAUUUUCAUCUGACUCAAUAGACACAAUAGAAGCUGAAGUAGACAAUUCCUCAAUAGACCUGGAAUCGAAAUUAAAUAUAAAUAAAAUUAUUAUCUUUUCCUUGAAUUAUAGGCAUAUACUAAAAUAUUUCAAAUGCAUAUAAAUCAAGAAGGGAGAAUUUAGUUUAAAUAAUAAUUUUGGAUGAAGGGAAAAGAUAAUUUAUACAUAUCUAAUCGUCUGAUGAAUCAUGUCAGAACCGUUAAUAACAAUUUUAGGAAUAUGAGCAAUCUUGAACCAAUCUUCACCUUUUCCACGUUCACAUCUUUUGCUCAAUUCAUCACAAUCUUUAAUCUCCAAUUGUUGGAGAGACGCGGUAUUUUGUAUGCAUACUGGCAAUUCUUUGAUAUAUUUACAAUAUUCCAAUUUUAAGAACCGGAGAGUGUUGGAAGAUCCUUGAAGAAGCCAUUCUGGAAAAUCCACCAAUUUUGGUAACAUUGCAAGUAUCAGCUUUUGAAGGUUGAAUUGAGCCAAGUGUUUAUUACUUUUUCCAUUUUCCUCCAAUGUCAAAUUGAGGUUUUCACAAUUGACAAUAUCAAGAAUCUCUAAUGCAGUGAGGUACUUCAUGCUUUGAGGCAAAGAGAUUAAGCUUCCACAACAUCCAAUAAUCAGAGUUCGAAGAUGUUUGAGGCCUUGCAUAUCUUCAAAUAAGUGUUCUAGUUCUUCACAGAAAAAAAUGCCCAAAAAUCUAAGAGAUGUCAAGCACCCUAUUCCAUUCAUCGGCAAACACUUCUGCUUUGUGGAAAACUGUAGAACUCUAAGAUUGAUCAAGUACCUUAUAUCACUAGGUAACUCCUCAAUACCUUCACAUAAUAGUAAAGUUUGUAAAUUGUAUAACUUGCAAAUGGAAUUGGGAAGCUUUUUACAGAAAAAAAUGCGCAAAUAUCUCAAAUGCUUUAGAGCACCAAUCCAAUCUAGUGAUAUUUCUAAUUUGGAAUGAGCCAAAUUCAACAUUCGCAAAUAUUGAAAUCUCAAUAAAUAUGAAUCCAAGUUUGAUUGGCUGCUAGGACUCUUUUCAUCACUCUGGAUUAUGUCAGUUCGCACAUGGUCUAAACCUUGUAAAAGGGUGGAAAGAUCUUGGGGAAGUGAAGUGAAGUUGGGAAAUAGCCUCCCUUUUCAGAAAUGCAGUCAUUUGUGAUAAGAAAAUUGAGGAAAACAAGAUUAUAUACGGAGUAGCUUUUGGGAAUAAAAGUACUUGAAAUAGAAACAAAGUGAUGAUUUGUUUUAAUAGAUUUUAUAAAUUAAAACUGAAUUUUUUUUUAUUUAAUAGAUUUUGUAGAUAGGGUAAAUGAAUAUUAAUCCAACCCAACGAGAUCUCAAAUUUAAUUCUUAUGACGGGUGAGAAAAAUGAAAACUGUUUAAAACAAAAAGAGAAGAAGAAAAUUGCAAUUGAAAAAGUUGAUUUUAAGAAAGAACAAAAAAAUUUAAGAAAAUAAUGCGAUUGGACGAUGAAAUAAAUAAUUAAAUUAAAAAACUUGGUUGAAGGUAAUUAAAGUUGAAAGAUGAUGAAAAUAAAUAAUCAAAUUAAAAAACUCAGUUGAAAGGUUUACCGUAAAACAUUGAUUAAAAAGAUGAUUUAUUUAAUUGUUUAUUAUUUGGUUAUAGUGUUCAAAUAAACGAAUCCAACAAUUAUUUUUUAAAAUUAAAUUAAUUCGCGUAGCGUUUAAAUUAAUUUCUAGUUAAUUAAUAAUUCCAUCAAGGGUAUAGAUUUAAUUAAUUAACUAUUUAAGAAAAAGAAGAACUCAAGCUUCAUCAAUAAUAGUAAGCAAAUUAUUUAAACCAAAUCAAUUAAUUUCUUAAUAUAAACAAAUAUGCUAAUUACUAUUUGUAUUAACAUAAUUAAAUAAUUAUGUAUUUACUUGCGUUAACUAGCAAUAUAUUGUCUUCUUAAAAGAUUCAAUGGAUCUCUUGAAUUUCUAAAAAGAUAACAAUGAGGUGGUGUUUUUCGAAAACAAAAAUUGAUAUAAAUAUAAAUUAAGAACAAAAUCUCACAACUUAAUAAAUUUCACUUAAUUAAUUUUCAAUUGAAAAAUAGAGUUUAGCCUUUAAAGGUUAUAACAAAAUUGCAGAAAAAUAAAAGAAGGAGAAGAAAAAUUCGGUCAAAAAGGAACCGAGAAAGAGAGAGAAGAUGUUGAGAAGAGAUGUGUUAGUCUACUUUUAGGACAACCUUUAUAUAGAUUUUUCUCAAACAAAAACAUAAUUAUUCGUAAUUUAAAAGAAAAAGUAAAAUAAAUCAAUUAUUUUUAGGAUAACUCUUAUCCUAAUCCUGAUCUGAUUGUGUUUUAAUUUAUCUGAAAUAGUUUUGAACCGUGUAUGACAGGCAGAACAGUAAUCCUGUAAUCUGUCUGUUUGGCUUGGAGUCUGGCUUGGAGCAUAACCUUGGGUAAGACUGUACAUUUCAGUCAGAAAAAGUUUUAAAAUAAUCUUUUUUGGGCAUUUUUUCAUUUUCAGCUCAAAAUUUGUCCAAAAUCAAAAUUCAAGUAAAAACCAAUUGUUUAUAUCAAAAUCAUAGCAAAAUUAUGAAAUUUAAUAUGAAAAAAAUGGUGAGUUUUGCAACUCAUUAGAUUUCCCAUACUUAUAGUUUUGCUUGUUCUCAAGCAUAGAAAUUCAAAUCCUUAAAAAAAAAUAAUAAAAACAUAGCCCUGUUCUCAACAAUUUGAAACUUAAUUUGUCUACAACAAAAAGCUAAAUUGUCAUGCAAUAAGAUAAUAGUAGAAAUAGUUUAAUUUCACCAAAGUUCUUUUCAAUAAAUCUCAUUUUUAAAACGUGUUUUUCAAGACGUAAAGUUGACUCUUUAUUCAAUUUCAAGCACACAAAAUAUUUAGAAUGCCAUUAAUAUUAAACUAUCAUUUUGAAAGAAUAAACUCUUAGAAACUCUUGGUUAGACCGAUAAAAUUUAAAGAAUUUGAGGAGUUUUAUUACACUUCCUACUAUAUUUUGCCUGAAACCGGUGAAGUGAAUGUGAAACAAAUGAUUACUGAGUCACUUGCCUCAGAUUAUUCAACUGAGGUUACUACUAGCUCCACUCAUGGUCACAUAACUAAAGGCAUGGGGCGAGUUUUAAACUACCCAAAAUGGGUGAUACUCUCGCAAACAUUGAUUUUUCAUACAGAAUCACCUUAAGAGGUCACUAAAUACCAUACUAUUUGAGCCAUCAGGUUGGUAACCAAAUAACCAAAUGACUAGAGGAGUGGGUAAUAGGAGUCCAAUUUAUAAUUUUUGCUUUUGUUAUUUUUCUCUUUUUUAUAUUACUUUUUCUUUCUUUUCUUGAUGACACCCUUUUAAUUUACACAUAAAAGUAUGUUAUAGACAAUGUGUUUAAAGUCAUUCUUAACAAAGGGCAACAAUUCAUUUAAAAGAUGGAGCUCCCUUAGUUAAAAUGGCAGGAUCCCUGAUGUGGCACAUAUGGAAGGAUCGUAACAUGUUCAUCUUUGAAGGAAAGCAAAAGGUAGCCCUUGAGGUAAUCAGACUUGCGUAUCAGUAUUUUGGGGAUUACAUCUUUGCCAACUCAUCUACUGUUGAAGAAGACAGGGUGGUACCAAAUGAUGCAGCAACUGAAGUCUCCUAGCAAGCUCCUCCUCUAAAUGUAAUCAAAUUAAAUUUCGAUGCAGCCAUUGAUACCAGGAAUUCUAGAGUGAGUGCAGUUGUUUCCCGUGAUCAUAGAGGCCACCUUUUACUUUGGAGCUGUAGGCUUUAGAACCAUAACGUCGAUCCUCUCUUAAUGGAGUGCCUAGCAUGUAGAGAUGCUUUGCUUUUAGCAAAGAAUAGGAGUUUGCAGAGGGUAUUUUUUAGAGUACAUUUAAGAUAUAAAAUCUAAUAAUAUUAUGGACACUAAAUUAUAUCCACGAUAUUUUUUCAGGUAUAUAAAUAUAUAAUAUUCUCUUAGUAUAUUUCAUUCGAAACUUCACAGAAAAAUAAAAAAAUUUUAACCACCGUAAACAUAAUCAAAUUAAUGAACCGUAUUAAAUUUAUAUCAAUUCUUUUCGUGUUUAUUUUUUUAAUCGUGUGAUUGUUGGAUUCUUAACAAAGUGAUUUUGAAACUGUUAUCCAAACAUAUUAGGGGAGACAAGCGCCUUUACUUAUUCAAGAUUUGAUACCAUUAUUAAUAUUUCACAAUGUUUAAAAUUCAAACUUUACAUAAUUAUUUUAUCAUUAAAAAAUAUAAAUUAAGAUGGAUACUAUUUUUAAAAAAAUUAACAAAAUAAUAUAAUAAAUUUCUUAAUAUCUAUUAUAAAUACAUUAUAUAUUAGUACUUAACAAUAAAUUAAAUUCUAAAGAAAAAAAUUAUUAAUUAAGAAAACACAAAGAUAUUUGAAGUUAAAAUAAACAAAUAAUUGAUAAAGCAGUGGAUCCAAGGGGGAAAAAAUAGAAAAAUAUGCAAAUAAAUUCAGACAGAUGAAAAAGGUCUAAAUAAUUAACAAUUUGAAAAGAAUAUUUCCAUUCUAAGGUGAUGAAAAUUGUANNNNNNNNNNNNNNNNNNNNNNNNNNNNNNNNNNNNNNNNNNNNNNNNNNNNNNNNNNNNNNNNNNNNNNNNNNNNNNNNNNNNNNNNNNNNNNNNNNNNNNNNNNNNNNNNNNNNNNNNNNNNNNNNNNNNNNNNNNNNNNNNNNNNNNNNNNNNNNNNNNNNNNNNNNNNNNNNNNNNNNNNNNNNNNNNNNNNNNNNNNNNNNNNNNNNNNNNNNNNNNNNNNNNNNNNNNNNNNNNNNNNNNNNNNNNNNNNNNNNNNNNNNNNNNNNNNNNNNNNNNNNNNNNNNNNNNNNNNNNNNNNNNNNNNNNNNNNNNNNNNNNNNNNNNNNNNNNNNNNNNNNNNNNNNNNNNNNNNNNNNNNNNNNNNNNNNNNNNNNNNNNNNNNNNNNNNNNNNNNNNNNNNNNNNNNNNNNNNNNNNNNNNNNNNNNNNNNNNNNNNNNNNNNNNNNNNNNNNNNNNNNNNNNNNNNNNNNNNNNNNNNNNNNNNNNNNNNNNNNNNNNNNNNNNNNNNNNNNNNNNNNNNNNNNNNNNNNNNNNNNNNNNNNNNNNNNNNNNNNNNNNNNNNNNNNNNNNNNNNNNNNNNNNNNNNNNNNNNNNNNNNNNNNNNNNNNNNNNNNNNNNNNNNNNNNNNNNNNNNNNNNNNNNNNUCAGUAUUGAAGAGUAGGAAAUCUAGAAAAAAUUUGAACUGUAUACUAAAAUUUUCAGCAGAUGGACACAGCUUCAACGAGUAAGCUUGAAUUAAGAUAUCCAAUCAUGAAUACAUCAAUAAAGUUCACAUUGAUACAAAUUAAAAACUCCCAUAACAUCAAUUGCCUUGCUUAUUAUUAUUAUUAUUUUUUCUGAAUAACUGAAUAUUUCAUUCUGUUCAUAUACAAGAUUUUUUGGCCAGUCAUCUUAUUCUGCAGAAAUUGGUCAGAAAUAAAAGAUAAAAGAAGCAUUAAAAAUAUUUAAAUUAAGAAAAAGGAGAGAAAAGAUAUGAAAAGGGAGGAAUGUGAGCCUCUACCUGAAUUCUGUGCAGGUAUGGAAAAGCUUCAGCAUGGAUUCUCAGUCAGUUCUCUAAACACAUUUUUCACUUGGUUUAGAACAUUAUUAAACAUUAGUUUUCAACAGAAAGCAAUUCCAUGAACAAAAAGCAACAGAACCUUGAAGCCAUAAAACAAUGGAAAAUUCACUAAUUGGUCUUGUGAUACAGGGAAGCUCAUUAGUUGAGUUUAAAAAAAUAGAUUAAAACUAUCCUGAAAUUUUAAAAAAUCUACUAAUUAGUCCUGUUGUUAAUUUUAACUGUUAAACGUUUUACUAUUUAGUUCAUGUGAUAUAGAAAAAUUUAUUAGCUGAUUUCUCAGUUUCGUAAAAAUAUCUACUAAUUAUUCCCUUUAUAUCGAGGGCAUUUUAGAUUUUUUUACGGUAUUUAAUGGUUAAAAUUAAUAGACAGACUAACUAGUAGACUUUUUAAAAUCUCAUAAACGUUUUAAUAUAUUUUUCAAAAUUGAGAGACUACCUAAUUAAUUUCCCAAUACCACAAGGAUGAAUUAGUAAAUUUCUCUAAAACACAAGAAAAUUAAGAAAGAAAAAGAAGUGGAUAAACAUACAACUUUUGAUGAUUUGAAAGAUGAAUAUAGCUACAUCCAUAUUCUGAUUUGAGUGACUUAAGCAAACUGGGUUGAUGAUUUGCAAUUCUCCAUGCAUAGGUUUUCAUUACAAACUCAUCUGAUAAUAUAAAAAUAAUAAGAUCCAUUGAUAAAAUAAAAAUAAUAAGAUCUCAACUAAUAAGAUCCGUUGAGAUCGUGACACAUGAAUGUAGAGUAUGAUAAGACUUUAUGCAUUAUUUUAUUCUGUUUGAGGAAAGUCCAACUUAGAGGAUAUAAAAAUCAAAUUUCAGCACCUUAGAUCUUACUAUUAUUCAAAUUAGGUAGGUCGAUCAUUUUAAAGCCCAUAAUCAACGAGUAGAUCUCUCUUAAAUACGUAGGAUAUCAUUAAGGUCAUGGUUGUCUAUGCGAUAGGAUUGACAAACAUGACACGCGCGAUGGACAAGUCAUGGGCUAACCGACUCCAUUAACGAGCCGUCUGACAUUUCUGCCGCAAUACACUAUUAUUCAAUCUAAGGGGACGUCAACAAAAACGUACCAAGAUGAACCAAUCACGUUCAAAGAAAGAUUUUUCAACUUCACCAGUAUAUUACAAACACAAAUCCUUCUCUAAACCUCAAUCUCGACGAAUCGAAUUUCAACCUUAUUAAUUUCCAAUCAUCUAUCCAAAUUUAUUAACUUUCCCGUGAAAUCAAGCUUAUUGUCCACGUCUUCUUGAACCCAUCGAAUCUAAGAUAUCAUCAUCAAAAGCUGUAAGAGAAGAAAUUAAUGCAAUUGAUAAAUGAACAAUGAAAAAGAAUUUAAAAUAAAAUGAAAAGUCAAAGUCUAAAUUAGUUCCAUGUAGCAUUAACAUAAAGUGACAGAUCUCUCAAGAGUCAAGACUUUAUGCAAUUCUCUCAAAGAGCAUCAAGUAAUAGAGAGAUAGUGUGUGCAACAUUAGGUAUGAUACUGUUUAAAAUAUAAAAAUAAAAAAUCACAAUAGUUUAGAGAUACACAUGUAUUAGCAAUUUUUUACAACACAACAUCAAAUACAAAUAUGACUAGAUUCAACAAUUGCCAUAUUUUCAUCUGAGUUCCCAGGCUCAAUAGACGCAAUAGAAGCUGAAGUAGACAAUUCCUCAAUAGACCUGAAAUCGAAAUUAAAUAUAAAUAAAAUUAUUAUAUUUUCCUUGAAUUAUAGGCAUAUACUAGAAUAUUUCAAAUGCAUAUAAAUCAAGAAGGGAGAAUUUAGUUUAAAUAAUUAUUUUGGAUGAAGGGAAAAGAUAAUUUAUACAUACCUAAUCGUCUGAUGAAUCGAUAUCAGAACCGUUAAUAACAAUUUUAGGAAUAUGAGCAAUCUUGGACCAAUCUUCACCUUUUCCACGUUCACAUCUUUUGCUCAAUUCAUCACAAUCUUUAAUCUCCAAUUGUUGGAGAGACGCGGUAUUUUGUAUGCAUACUGGCAAUUCUUUGAUAUAUUCACAAUUUUCCAAUUUUAAGAACCGGAGAGCGUUGGAAGAUCCUUGAAGAAGCCAUUCUGGAAAAUCCACCAAUUUUGGUAACUCCUUAAGCAUCAGCUUUUGAAGGUUGAAUUGAGCAAAGUGUUUAUNNNNNNNNNNNNNNNNNNNNNNNNNNNNNNNNNNNNNNNNNNNNNNNNNNNNNNNNNNNNNNNNNNNNNNNNNNNNNNNNNNNNNNNNNNNNNNNNNNNNNNNNNNNNNNNNNNNNNNNNNNNNNNNNNNNNNNNNNNNNNNNNNNNNNNNNNNNNNNNNNNNNNNNNNNNNNNNNNNNNNNNNNNNNNNNNNNNNNNNNNNNNNNNNNNNNNNNNNNNNNNNNNNNNNNNNNNNNNNNNNNNNNNNNNNNNNNNNNNNNNNNNNNNNNNNNNNNNNNNNNNNNNNNNNNNNNNNNNNNNNNNNNNNNNNNNNNNNNNNNNNNNNNNNNNNNNNNNNNNNNNNNNNNNCUAGGGCGGGCCGUAAUGGCUCCCCCGAGGGACAAAUCCUGCCUGGAACCCGUGAGGGUGAAGGGAUGUUAAGAGCUGCUCACGACGCCAGUGGAAAGCCCGAGGUGGCAAGAGGCCAGGCGAGGGAUAGCCCUGGGCCGUGAGCGGUAACAGUGCCGGGGAUCACGUCCGGGCUGUUACAUAUGUGCCGCAACAAACUACUGUUCAAUCUGAGGGGACGUCAACAAAAAUGUACCAAGAUGAACCAAUCACAUUCAAACACUGAUUUUUCAACUUUACCAGUAUACUACAAACACAAAUCUUUCUCUAAACCUCAAUCUGCACGAAUAAGAUUUCAACCUUAUUAAUUUUCAAUUAUCCAUCAAAAUUUAUUAAUUUCUCGUGAAAUCACGCUUCUUGUCCACGUGGAUACAUCUUCUUGAACCCAUAGAAUCUAAGAUAUCAUCAUCAAAAGCUGUAAGAGAAGAAAUUAAUGCAAUUGAUAAAUGCAUAAUGAAAAAGAAUUUAGAAUAAAAUAAAAAAUCAAAGUCUAAAUUAGUUCCUAUGUAGAAUUGCCAUAAAGUGACGGAUCUCUCAAGAGUCAAGGCUUUAUGCAAUUCUCUCAAAGCUCCACCUAAAACCUUGCUUGAAUUGAAAGCCAAACCAAAGCUUUUCACAAGUAAAUGUAAGAUAAAAGAGCAUCAAGUAAUAGAGAGACAGUUUGUGUAACAUUAGGUAUGACACUAUUUACAAUAUAAAAAUAUAAAGUGAUAAGAGUUUAGAGAUACACAUGUAUUAGCAAUUUUUUAUAAUACAACAACAAAUACAAAUAUUAAUAGAUUCAACAAUUGCCACAUUUUCAUCUGAGUUCCCAGACUCAAUAGGCACAACAGAAGCUGAAGUAGACAAUUUCUCAAUAGACCUGGAAUAAAAAAUAUAAAAAUAAAAAUAUUAUAUUUUCCUCGAAUUAUAUGCAUAUUUCUAAUGCAUAUAAAUCAAAAAGGAGAAUUUAGUUUAAAUAAUAAUUUUAGAUGAAGGGAAAAGAUAAAUUAUACAUACUUAAUCAUCUACUGAAUCGAUGUCCAACUGUCAAUAAUAAUUGUAGGAAUAUGAGCAAUCUUGGACCAAUUUUCACCUUUUCCAGGUUCACAUUUUUCGCUUAAUUCAUCACAGGCUACAAUCUCCAAUUGUUGGAGGGAUGCUAUAUUCUGUAUGCACACGGGUAAUUUUUUGAGAUAUUUACAACUUGCUAAUAUUAAUAACCGGAGAGUGUUGGUAGAUCCUUGAAGAAGCCAUUCCGGAAAAUCCACCAAUUUUGGUAACUCCGCAAGUAUCAGCUUUUGAAGGUUGAAUUGAGCAAAGUGUUUAUCAUCUUUUCCAUUUUCCUCCAAUGUCAAAUUGAGGUUUUCACAAUUGACAAUAGCAAGAAUCUCUAAUGCAGUGAGGUACUUCAUGCUUUGAGGCAAAGAGAUUAAGCUUUCACAAUUUCCAAUAAUCAGUAUUCGAAGAUGUUUGAGGCCUUGCAUAUCUUCAAAUAAGUGUUCUAGUUUUUCACAGCUACCAAUGGCCAAAAAUCUAAGAGAUGUCAAGCACCCUAUUCCAUUCAUCGGCAAACACUUCUGCUUUGUGGAAAACAGUAGAAAUCUAAGGUUGAUCAAGUACCUUAUAUCACUAGGUAACUCCUCAAUACUGUCACUUAAUACUAAAGUUUGUAAAUUGUGUAACUUGCAAAUGGAAUUGGGAAGCUUUUUAAUUCCAGAAUUUCCAUAUAGACGGAGAUAUCUCAAAUGCUUUAGAGCACCAAUCCAAUCUAGUGAUAUUUCUAAUUUGGAAUGAGCCAAAUCCAACAUUCGCAAAUAGUGAAAUCUCAAUAAAUAUGAAUCCAAGUUUGAUUGGCUGCUAGGACUCUUUUCAUCACUCUGGAAUAUGGCAGUUCGCACACGGUCUAAACCUUGUAAAAGGGUGGAAAGAUCUUGAGGAAGUGAAGUGGAGUUAGGAAAUAGCAAAUGGCGAACAUUGUGUGAGAUGUGUGUGGUGCUUGAGGUUAUUGCUAAAAAUUCAUUUUGUGUCAAUGAUAAUGCAAGAUCAUGUACUAGAUCAUGCAUUUUACAUGUAAUCCAUAUGCCCUCACGAGUCUCAAAGUCUUGAAAAAAAGAUCUAGACCCCAGCUCCUGAAAAUAGCGCGACCCAAUAUCUUCCAGCUCUUCAUUUUGGUUUGCUGAUUCAAGAAGUCCAUGUGCCAUCCAAAAUUGAAUUAAUUCCCAGUUAGAGAAUUCAUAGUCCUUUGGAUAAAAAGAGCAAUAAGCAAAGCACUUUUUCAAAUGAGCAGGCAACUGCUCGUAACUUAAUCUCAAAGCAGGUAAAAUAUCAGUUUCCUUCUGCUCUAUCUUCCAUAACUCGCUAUCUCUUAUAGACUUCCAAUAACUUUCAUCAGUAUUCAGAAGAAGAAGUGAUGCUAAUGUCUUCACUGCUAAUGGAACCCCUUUGCAUUUUUUGACAAUUUCAACCCCAAUUUUUAACAAGUUUGGAUAUCGCUUCACUUGGCCUUCUUUAAAUGCAAAUUUAGUAAACAAAGCCACACACUCAUCUUCAGGAAGACCCGAUAACUCAUAUGCUUUUGGGAUGGUGCCCAUAAUGGAGGCUACUUUAUUACUACGUGUAGUUACUAAGAUUUUGCUUCCAUUGGCACCCAUACACAAGAGCUCUUUCAAUUGGUUCCAUUUCAUAGGGUCAUCAUUCCACACAUCAUCUAAGAUGAGCAAAUAUUUCUUAUCACCAAUGAUCUCCCUCAAAAUUCUUUGUAACUGAUCCAUUUCCAUUUUGCUCAACUUCUCUACAUGUCUCAUUCCCUCUUCUGUAGACUUAAUAAUUUUCUCUGUCAAAAUCUUUAUGUCAAAUUCUUCUGAUACACAAACCCAUAUUUGAAGUUGAAAAUGAUUCCUUACCCUUUCAUCAUUAUAAACAAAUUUAGCGAGUGAAGUUUUUCCCAACCCUCCAAUUCCAACAAUAGGAAUGACAGAGAUUUGAUCGCUAUCACUAGAGUCUUGUAAAAGUGUAAUGAUAUUUUCUUUAUCAUCAUCUCUACCUAUAACUUCAGAUGCUUGCACAAAUGAGUGAGUCAGUGCUCUUUCUCUAGGCAUAACAUGCCUACUUUCAUAUCGUUCUAUGAGAUGAAAUUUAGAUUUCUGACUUGCAAUCUCAUCUAAUUUUUCUCUUAUUUGCUUUACUUUUGCACUCAUUUUAAUACGAAAUGCCAUUAGAUUAGAACAUGAAAGAAAGUGACCCACCUGUAAUCCAAAAAUAUACAGUAUUGAUUUCAUAUGCUUACAUUUAGACGUAAUCAGUAACUAAUCAAUUAAUAUAAAAGCAUGCUUUUCUAAAUGACUAUCCGAUUGCAAGUAAUUAUAAUAAUAUUUCAAACUCUACACAGGGCUUUAGUUUUUUAUUCUCAAACUUAAAAUAAUGAGAAAUAUUUGAUUUCGAUCAUAUAUUUUAAAUUUCUUUUUGGAUAUGUUGACAUAUGAAUGGUUGAUUAGUGAGUUUUUUAUAUUAUAAGAACUAAGUAAUAAUUAUUUUAAAUAAUAAUUAUUUUAUAUUAAAUACAGUUUUAUUAUUAUUUUUAUAGUAUAUAUUAACCUUAUAAAUUUUUAAAUAUAAUUAUUUUAAUUUAUUGGAGUUCAUGAUACAAUUUUUAAAAAGUACUAAAAAUUCAAUAAUACGUAUAAUUUUAUUAUUUAUGUUAUUUGAAUUCAUAAAAUAAUUAAAAAAAUUAUUUUUUCAUGAGUUAAUAACAAAAAAAAUUAUUUUUGUUUAUUUUUAUAAUUAUACCCUAUUUUUUUAUAAUUGACCAAUUAAAUUUUACAUUUUAAUAUUUAUUCUAAUUAUACAUUCACGUUAAUUUUUCAUUAAAAACUAAUAAAAUUAUCACAUUAUUUAAUAUAUUAUUGUUAGAUCACUGCUAGUUCAACAAAAUUCAUAAUACAAUUAAUUACGACUUAAAAAGUUAAGGUUUAAUUGAUAAAUUUUUAAAAUUUAAGAUAUAAUUAUAAAUUUUUUUAAAAAUUAUGAUUUUUUUUAUCAUUUAUCCUAAAAUUAAAAUUGAUAAUAUUAAAAAAUAAUUUAUAGUAUUAUUAUAAAUUUUUUAGUUUUAUCAAUGAUUUAGUAUAUCAAUUUUAUUUUAAUUUAAUUUAAAAUUAAAUUACACUAAUUAUUAUUAUAAUUUAAAAAAAUACAUAAUUAACAAUAUGAUUGAAAUUAAAAAGAAAUAUUAUUAUAAAAAAUAUAUUAAAAAAUAAUUAUAAUUAUUUUAUUAUUUUAUAUUUUAAAAAUAAAUUAUGCAAAAUAUAAUUUUAAAUUAAUUUUAUAUUUCACGUUAUAAAAUAUAAUUAAUAUAUAUUAUUAAUCAUAUAACUUUUUUUAACUACAAUGAUGAUCGAUUUAGAUUAAAUUAAAAUAGAUUGAUACACUAAAAUGAUAAAAUUAAAAAAUUUAUAUAGAUUUAAUACGGUUAAAAUAGUAAUAUUUUCAUGAGUUAAUAAAAAAAUUCAUUUUUUUUAUUUUUAUAAUUAUAUUUUAUCUUUUGAAGAAUUAAAUUCUAAAUUUUAAUAUUUGUUUCGACUAGAGGUUCACGUUAAAAACUAACGAAAUUGUCACAUUAAAUAACGCAUUAUUAUCAAAUUACGAUAUUAUUUUAACAAAAUUUAAAAUACAAUUAAUUAUAACUUAAAAAGUUAAAAUUUAAUUGAUAAAUUUUUAAAAUUAGGAUAUAAUUAUAAAUUUUUUUAAAAGUUAAAAUUUUUUAUCAUUCUCUUAAAAUUAAAAUUGAUAAUAUUAAAAUAUAAUUCAUAAUAUUAUUAUAAUUUUUUUAAUUUUAUAAUUUUAAAUUAAGCCACAUUAAUUAUUAUUAUAAUUUAAAAAUGCAUAAUUAACGAUAUAACUGAAAAUAAAAAAAAUAUAUUAAAAAAUAAUUAUAACUAUUUUAUUAUUUUAUAUUUUAAAAAUAAUUUAUGCGAAAUAUAAGUUUAAAUCAAUUUUAUAUUUCACAUUAUGAAAUAUAAUUAAUAUAUAUUAUUAAUUAUAUAUUUUUUUAACUACAAUGAUAAUUAUUAUAAAUUUAAAAAAAUUAAAAUGUGGAUUAAUUUAGAUUAAAUUAAAAUAAAUUGAUAUAAUAAAAUUAAAAAAUUUAUAAUAAUAAUAAUAAUAAUAAUAUAAAUUACUUUUUAAUAUUAUAAAUUUUAAUUUAAAAAAAAUUAAAAAAUUAAACUUUAAAGUAAAUUUAUAAUUACACAUUAAAUUUUAAAAAAUUACUAAUUAAAUUUGAUUUUUUAAAUUGUAAUCAAUUAUACUCGGCACGACAAUGACAUUAAUCUGUAACGAAAAGUUUAAUGUUAGUAUAUAAUUAAAAUAAAUAGAAAAAUAGAAAAAUAUGAGAUUUUUUGUUAUUAACUUUAUUUUCAUUAUUAAACUAUUUUUGUAAUUAAUAAUUUUUUUUAGCAUAUAUUGAAUAUAUAGGAGUAUAUUAAAACGCUAAUAUGUUAUCAUCUAAAAAAAAUUUCUCAUAUCUCGUACUUUUGAGAUAAAAUCAUAUUAUUGUUUUGAGAUUAAAUUUAAUUUUCUUUAAAUUUUAAAAUUAAAUUAUUUUAAGACAUUUUAUUAUUUUGCAGUUGUUUAUAUAUUUAUUUCAUUUGAGUAUAUAUGUAUACUAUAUAAAAUAAAAUAAAAUAUUAAAUUCCUAAAACAUUUCUAUAAUAAAUCUGUUUCUAAAAAUAAAAAAUUCAAAAUUAAUUUUAAUUCUAAUUUUUAACGAGAAUCAUAUUAGAAUUAAAAUCAAAUUACUUGUGAAACCAUUUCUAAAUUAAAGAAAAUUAUAAUUUUUUUUUAUAAAAUUAGAAUUUUAUUUUUUGAAAAAAUAUUGAAUGUGAAAUUUUAUAAAUAUAUAAUAAAUUUAUAUAUGUAUAACAUAUAAUAAAUAUCAGGAUGAAAUAAAAAUAAUUAUAAUGUAAAACUAAAUCGUGUGCCUCGGACCUUUUUGCUGGUGGUUCCAUACAAUUGAAGUACUCGUCUUCUCUGAUCUUCACAUUGAAAUUCAUCAAGCACAUCCUCAGCAUCAUAAAGAGCAUCCUUAAGCUUAGCCAACCACAACCUCAGUGGAGGGUCAUUCACUUGCUUCUCCUCAGCAUCCAUUAGCACAGCUUUCACUGUCAACAAGAUAUCCUCCAGCUUUCUGAGUUCUGCUUUCAAGCCCCAUGCAAAACAUAUCUCUUGGUAGGUAUGGGAUGCUAUCUUCUCCAACACUUUCUCAGCAAUAUUAAAAGCAAACGACUCUAUUGCCAUUUUUGUGGAUUUUGAUUUUUAUCUGAGUAGAAAUUGAGAUAGAUAACAAAAUUUGAAUCAAAAUCCCAUGCAUUUUAUAGCCUAGAAAACUCAUUUGGCAAGCAUCGAGUUUUCAAAGUUGUGAAUUAAAGCAUAAAUUCUAUUAUUUCAGCUGAUGAACUCAAAGAUUAUACUAAAUCUUUGGAGUUUAAAAUUCUAUAUUCUCCCAUCUUCUUACUCAUUCUUGGUGUAGGCAAAAGUUACAAGCAACAUGAUACCUUUGGGCCCAUUUGGUUUAGAAAAUAGAAAUGCAAUAUUGUAUAUAUUAAGCUUAUUUAUAUCAUGUAAAAAAAUAUAUUUAUUUUUUUAUAUUUUUUAAUGCUUGAGAUAUAUUAGUGAAAAUAGUUUUCUUUAUAAUAGAAAACUUAAGUUGCUUUUAAAGAAAAUUAAUUUUUCUUUUAAAGAUCAAGCCAUUUUUUAUAUUUUAAAAUAUAUAUUAAUUAUUUUAAUUUAUACAUUUUUGUUUCUCCCCCUCAAAUCGCCUAACCGGUCUAUCCUCAAUCCCAUAAGUUUUCUUUAUCUCUAUGUGCUCCCUUUCACUGUUCUCUCUACAACUUCAUGGUGAUUUUUCAAGUUUGGUGACUGAUAUACUGGAGAUUUUUCAAGAAAGAGAUUAACAGUGUCACUAAUCAUUCAUUCACACAUUUCACCACCUCUUUCUUCAUGUUGGGAUUUUAACUUGUAUGUGUUUUUUGGGGUUUUGCAAUUGGAUAUUGUUUGCUUUCGGAGCUUAGCAUUUGAUGAACUUUUUUUAUUUUUUAUUUUUUGUUUUUCUAACAAUCAUAAAUCUAUUUUUAUUUAUUUAUUUUUAGUUGAAAUAUUAGUAGUCCUACUUAUGAUAAAACUUGUCUAAACUGAUACUACAUGGACUGGUAGCAUAAUGUAAAAUAGUAGUGCAAUCCACAUAAAAUGCAUGUAAUUAUACUGUAAAUUUAUAUAGAUUUAGUUUAGAUAAGAAUUGUCUCUACUUAUAUAUAGAACAUUUUUUCUUGGUAAAAAUACUUCUUUUUUCCUGAUGUGUUUUUCUCCUCAUACUCGUUUUUUUUUUUUUGGUGGGAUUACCCUUCUGGUAAGAAGACUUUUUAAUUUGAUUAUGCUCUUUUUGCAGUGAGAAUAUAGUAUUUUGAGUUGUUCUAAGAAAGAGAUACAGAAAAACAAGUAGUAAGCAAGAAUAUCUUUUUAUGACAAUAAAGCAGAUGAUUUGUAUUAUCAAUAAUAAAAUUAAAAUUACAGAAACAACAUUUAUGAUAAGAACAAUCAUUUGUGAUUAAAAUUUCAGGUCUAGAGACAAAAGCCUCCCUUCACAGAAAUGCAGCCAUUUGUGAUAAGCAAAUUGAAGAAAACAAGAUUAUGUAAGGAGUAGCUUUUGGGAAUAAAAACAUCUCCCUUCCCACAUUAUGAAGAGUAUACAUGAAAUAGAAACAAAGUGAUUUGUUUUAAUAGAUUUUGUAGAUUAAAACUUAUUUCUCUUUUCUUGAUACAAUAUCUAUAGAUAUUGUAAAUAGAGUGAAUGAGUGUCCAUACCUUAAAUUUAAUUCUUAAGACAAUGAGGAAAAUGAGAACUGAUUAAAACAAAAAGAGAUAAAGAAGUAAAUUGCUAUUGAAAAAAUUGAUUUUAAGAAAGAAAGAAAAAAAAGCUUCAAGAAAAUAAUGCGAUUGAAUGAUGAAAUAAAUAAUCAAAUUAAAAAACUCAGUUGAGGAUAAUCAAAGUUAAAAGGUUUACCGUUGAUCAUUGAUUAAAAAGAUGAUUUAUUUAAUUGUCCAUUGUUUGGUUAUAACAUUCAAACAAGUGAAUCCCAAUAAUUCUUUCUAACGAUUAAAUUAAUCUACAUAGCGUUUAAAUUAAUUUCUAGUUAAUUAAUAAUUUCAUUAAGCGUGUAGAUUUAAUUAAUUAACUGUUUUUAAAAAAGAAGAAUUCAAACUUCAUCAAUAAUAGUAAGCGAAUUAUUUAAACUAAAUCAAUUAAUUCCUUAACAUAAAUGAAUAUGCUAAUAUCUAUUUGUAAUAACCUAAUUAAAUAAUUAUGUAUUUACUUGGGUUAAUUAGCAAUAUAUUGUCUUAUUAGGAGAUUCAAUAGGUCUCUUAAAUUCCUAAAAUGACAACAAUGGAGGUGGUGUUCUUUGAAAAUAAAAAUUAAUUGAAAACAGAAAUUCAGAUAAACAGAAAUUAAGAACAAAAUCUCACAACUUAAUUAAAUAUCACUUGAUUAACCGUCAACUGAAAAAUAGAGUUUAGCCUCUAAUUAAGAGCCAUAACAAAAUUGUAGAAGAAUAAAAGAAGGAGAAGAAGAAUUCGGUCAAGGAGGAACCGAAAAAAAGAGAGGAGAUGAUGAGAAGAGAUGUGUGAUUCUACUUCUAGGGUAGCCUUUAUAUGGGCUUUUUCCAAAUAAAAAGAUAAUUAUUCACAAUUUAAAAGAAAAAAUAAAAUAAAUAUAUUAUUUCUAUGAUGACUCUUAUUCUAAUCCUAAUUUGAUUGUGUUUGCAUCUAUUUGAAAUAGUUUUAAACUGUGUAUAGCUGGCAAAACAGUAAUUCUGGAAUUUGUCCAUCGGGCUUGGGCCUUUCAGUUAGAAAAAGCUUUAAAAUAGUCUUUUUUGGUUAUUUUCUCAUUUUUCAACUCAAAAUCUGUCCAAAAUUAAAAUUCAAGUAAAAAUCAAUUAUUUAUAUCAAAAUUAUAGCAAAAUCAUGAAAUUUAAAAUAAAAAAAAUAGUGAGUUUUGCAACUCAUAAGAUUUCCCUAUACUUCACCUUUACUUGUCCUCAAACAUAGAAAUCCUUAAAAGAAAACAAUAAAGACAAAACCCUCUCCUCAACCAUUUGAAACUUAAUUUGUCCAAAACAAAGAGCCAAGUUGUCAUGAAAUAAGAUAAUAGCAGAAAUAGUUUAAUUUCACCAAAAUUUAUUUCAAUAAGUUUCAUCUUUAAAACAUGUUUCUCAAGACAUAAAGCUGACCCUUUAUUCAAUUUCAAGUAUACAAAAUAUUUAGAUGCCAUUAAUAUCAAACUACCAUUUUGAAAGAAUAAACUCUUAGAAACUCUUGGCUAGACCGAUAAAAUUUAAAGAUUUUGAGAGUUUUAUUACACUUCCUACUAUAUAUUAUCUGAAAUUGGUGAAGUGAACGUAAAAUAAAUGGUUACUGAGUCACUUGCCUCAGGUUAUUUAGUUCAGGUUGCUACUAUCUCCACCCAUGGUCACAUAAUUGAAGGCAUGGGACGAGUUUUUAAACGAUCCAAAAAGGGAGAUACUCUCCCAAACACUAAUUUUUCCAUACAUAAUCACCUUAAGGGGUCACCAAAUACCAUGGGCCAUCGAAUGCAUCAAUUUAAAAUUUACUUCCUUUUUAUUGAUUGAUAAGAACUUAUAGAUAAGAUAAGUGAGUAUCAAUCCCUCAUAAAACUUAAUUCUAUUUAAUUUAAAUAACCAAUUGGAAUAGAAGAAUGGUUUAAUAAAAAAAUGAGAAGAAGAGAGCUUUUUUUUAUGAAAGUAGUUUUGCCUUGGACAAGUCAAGAAAAAUAAACUUAAAAGAUAAAUAAUAAAUAAUGCAAUUGAAAUUUCAGAAAUAAAUAAUUAAUUAAAACUUUCAGCAGGGCAGAAGGUAAUCAAAUUUUGGUGUUUUGUAGUUGAUCAUUGGUUAGAAAAAAAUAAUUUAUGUUAUUAUCUAUUAUUUGGCUAUAGUGGUCAAACACGUGAAUCCUACCGAUUCUUCCUUAUGAAUAAAUUAAUCCAUUUCGCGUUUAAAUUAAUUCAUAAUUAACUAACAACUCUAACAUGCAUGUAGAUUUAAUUAGUUAGAGAGAAGAACCCAAACUUGAUAAAAAAAAACACGCGAUUUAUUUAAAUUAUUCCUAACAUAAACUAAUAUGCUAAUUGCUACUUGUUAUUAACCCAAUUAAACAAUCAUGGAUUUAAUUCAAUUAAUUAGCAAUAUACUGUCUUUCCAAUAGAUUCUCAAGAAAACAACAAUGUAGGGGUGUUCCUCAAAUUCAGAAAUUAACGGAAAAUAGAAAUAAGAUGAAAAAAUUGAAGCACGUAACCUCACAGUUUGAAUAAAAUCUCAAUUGAAAUUAACUUUCAGCUAAAAAUAAUUGUUUAGCCUCUAAGAGGAAUAAUAAAAUUAAGAAAAAAAGAAAAAGAAGAAGAUGAGGAAGAAGGUGGGGGCAGCAGCUAAAGAGAAGAGGAGGGAGAGAGAGAAAAAAAUAUGAUAUUUUAAGUUUAAAUCUAGGAGCCUUUAUAAUUAUUUAAAAUAAACUCUAUUACUCCUAUUUCAUCCAUAUCCUAAUCUGAUUGUUUUUUUAUCCAACUUGAAACUUAUUUAAAACUGCUGCGGUGGUGAAACUUCCCAUCGCUUAGGUUACAGAUUUGGUCAAAAUUGCAAUCUUUCAGUUCAAAAAUUCUUCAAUUCAGCUUCUUUUCAUUUUUUUUCUCAACUUCCGCUAAAAAAACCUGUCCAAAAUUAAAUUUCAAAUAAAAAUGAAUAUUUAUAUUAAAAUCAUAACAAAAUUAUGAAAUUAAAUAAAAAAAAAGUUAUGAGUUUUGCAACUAUCACAAAGUUGUAUUUUAAUUAACUUUCCUAUUUCUGUGGCUCUUAAAAGUUGUAUUUUAAUUAACUUUCCUAUUUCUGUGGCUCUUGAUUUAAGAAAAAUUUAUUAGGCUCUUUAAUUAAUUUUGAAACUCUUUCAUACUCUUAAUCAAUUUCUUAAAUAUAAGAUUAUAGGUUCUAAUCCUUUAUUUUCCAUCAUUAAUUUUCAUCCAUUAAUACAUUAAUUAAUAAUUAAAAAUAUGACUUGGUUGGUCAAAUACAAAGCAAGAUAAUAAACCACAAGGAAAAUAAUAAAGCAUCAAAUACCCAACUCAUUAAUAGAAAAUAGUUUAAAUUCAAAAUUAAAAUAGAGUAUUACAUACUUAAUUUCUAAAUCUAAGAAAACUACUCAUUAAUCAUGCUAUUUAUAAGAAAAAAUUCAAAGUAAGAAUAAAGGAUACAUGAAAUUAGUAAAGAAGAAGAAAAAUCCAAAUGAAAAACUAUUCAAAUAUUAAAAAUCUAUGCGAAGAGAGUCUCCAUUUGUGAAGUUGCAGCUACCCCUCAUUUUCUCCAAGAGAUUUUUACGUUAAUAGUGUAGAGAAAAGGUGAGGAAGAUGAUUCCAGUGUUCUAUUAUAGUCUUCUCUCCCUUCAAAAUGAAGAAAAAGACAAACAUAUACUCUCAAAAAAUCUGACUAGUAAAGGUAAAAGUUGUCAUUUGUUAUAGAAAUUAAAUACUAAUUUCUACACAUAUGGAUGAGGUGGCAGACUAACAGACAUAAGCUAUAACACAACUUUAUAGCUCCUUAUAUAACUUUUUCCUGCAAAAUAAAAAUAAAAUUACCUAUAAAAUACUAAUAAAAAGCAAUUAAAAUUAUUAAAAAUAUCAAAUAAAUAAAUAAAAAUUACUUAUGUAAACAAAAAUAAAUGCAAAAUAUACUUAAAAUAUAUAUAAAAAUUGAGGUUAACAGCAUUCAAUGAUUUGAAAGUUGAAAUUUGUUACAUCCAUAUUCUGAUUUGAGUGACUUCAGCUAAGUGGGUUGAUGAUUUGUAAUUCUCCAUGCAUGACUAGUUCAUUUAUUAAAUUCAUCAAAUUUAUAAAGAGAAGAAAGGCUGAUAAAAGAAAAAUGAAAAGAAUCUAAAAUAAAUGAAAAAUGUGUCUAGCUAAAGUAGUUCCCGUGUAGCAUUUUCAUAAAGUGGCAGAUCUCUCAAGACUUUAUGCAAUUCUCUCAAGCCUGAACUUGAAAACUUGCUUGAAUUGAAAGCCAAGCCAAAACUUUUCACAAGUAACUGUAAGAUAAAAUAGCAUCAAGUAAUAGAGAGACAGUUUGUGUAACAUUAGGUAUGACACUAUUUACAAUAUAAAAAUAUAAAGUGACAAGAGUUUAGAGAUACACAUGUAUUAUUAAUUUUUUACAACACAACAUCAAAUACAAAUAUUACUAGAUUCAACAAUUGCCACAUAUUCAUCUGAGUUUUUCAGGCUCAAUAGACACGACAGAAGCUGAAGUAGACAAUUCAUCAAUACACCUGAAAAUUGAAAAUAUAAAUAAAAUUAUAAUAUUUUCCUUGAAUUAUAUGCAUAUACUAGAACAUUUUAAAUGCAUAUAAAUUAAAAGGGAAAAUUUAGUUUAAAUAAUAAUUUUAAAUGAAGGAAAAAGAUAAUUUAUACAUACUUAAUCAUCUGCUGAAUCGAUAUCAGAACCGUCGAUAACAAUUUUAGGAAUAUGAGCAAUCUUGGACCAAUCUUCACCUUUUCCACGUUCACAUCUUUCGCUCAAUUCAUCACAAUCUUCAAUCUCCAAUUGUUGGAGAGAUGCUAUAUUCUGUAUGCACACAGGCAAUUCUUUGAGAUAUUUACAACUUUCUAGUUUUAAGAACUGGAGAGUGUUGGUGGAUCCUUGAAGAAGCCAUUCUGGAAAAUCCACCAAUUUUGGUAACAUCGCAAGUAUCAGCUUUUGAAGGUUGAAUUGAGCCAAGUGUUUAUUACUUUUUCCUUUCUCCUCCAAUGUCAAAUUGAGGUUUUCACAAUUGCCAAUAGCAAGAAUCUCUAAUGUAGUGAGGUACUUCAUGCUUUGAGGCAAAGAGAUUAAACUUUCACAAUCUCCAAUAAUCAGUGUUCGAAGAUGUUUGAGGCCUUGCAUAUCUUCAAACAAGUGUUCUAAGUUUUCACAGUUAGCAAUGCCCAAAAAUCUAAGAGAUGUCAAGCACCCUAUUCCAUUCUUUGGCAAAAACUUCUGCUUUGUGGAAAACAUUAGAUAUCUAAGGUUGAUCAAGUACCUUAUAUCACUAGGUAACUCCUCAAUACCUUCACAUAACAUUAAAGUUUGUAAAUUAUGUAACUUGCAAAUAGAAUUGGGGAGCUUUUUAAUUCUAGAAUUUCCAUGUAGAUGGAGAUAUCUCAAAUGCUUUAGAGCACCAGUCCAAUCUAGUGAUAUUUCUAAUUUGGAAUGAGCCAAAUCCAAUAUUCGCAAAUAUUGAAAUCUCAAUAAAUAUGAAUCCAAGUUUGAUUGGCUGCUAGGACUCUUUUCAUCACUCUGGAAUAUGGCAGUUCGCACACGGUCUAAACCUUGUAAAAGGGUGGAAAGAUCUUGGGGAAGUGAAGUGGAGUUAGGAAAUAGCAAAUGACGAAUAUUGUGUGAGAUGUGUGUGGUGCUUGAGGUUAUUGCUAAAAAUUCAUUUUGUGUCAAUGAUAAUGCAAGAUCAUGUACUAGAUCAUGCAUUUUACAUGCAAUCGAUAUGCCCUCACCAACCUCAAAGUCUUGAAAAAAAGAUCUAGAUCCCAACUCCUGAAAAUAACGCAACCCAAUAUCUUCCGGUUCUUCAUUUUGGUUUGCUGAUUCAAGAAGUCCAUGUGCCAUCCAAAAUUGAAUUAAUUCCCUGUUAUAGAAUUCAUAGUCCUUUGGAUAAAAAGAGCAAUAAGCAAAGCAUUUUUUCAAAUGAGCAGGCAACUGCUCGUAACUUAAUCUCAAAGCAGGUAAAAUAUCAGUUUCCUUCUGCUCUAUCUUCCAUAACUCGCUAUCUCUUAUAGACUUCCAAUAACUUUCAUCAGUAUUCAGAAGAAGAAGUGAUGCUAAUGUCUUCACUGCCAAUGGAACCCCUUUGCAUUUUUUGACAAUUUCAACCCCAAUUUUUAACAAGUUUGGAUAUCUCUUCACUUGGCCUUCUUUAAAUGCAAAUUUAGUAAACAAAGCCACACACUCAUCUUCAGGAAGACCCGAUAACUCAUAUGCUUUUGGGAUGGUGCCCAUAACGGAGGCUACUUUAUUACUACGUGUAGUUACUAAGAUUUUGCAUCCAUUGGCACCCAUACACAAGAGCUCUUUCAAUUGGUUCCAUUUCAUAGGGUCAUCAUUCCACACAUCAUCUAAGAUGAGCAAAUACUUCUUAUCACCAAUGCUUUCUCGCAAAAUUUCUUGUAAUUGCUCCAUUUCCAUUUUACUCAAGUUUUCUACACCGUAUCGUUUUCCAAUCUCUGUAGAUUUAAUAAUUUUCUCUGUCAAAAUCUUUAUGUCAAAUUCUUCUGAUACACAAACCCACAUCUGAAAUUGAAACUGAUUCCUUACCCUUUCAUCAUUAUAAACAAAUUUAGCCAGUGAAGUUUUUCCCAACCCUCCAAUUCCAACAAUAGGGAUAAUAGAGAUUUGUGCACCCUCACUAGAAUCUUGUAAAAGUCUAAUGAUAUUUUCUUUAUCAUCAUCUCUACCUAUAACUUCAGAUGCUUGUACAAAUGAGUGAGUCAGUGCUCUUUCUCUAGGCAUAACAUGCCUACUUUCAUAUCGUUCUGUGAGAUGAAAUUUAGAUUUCUGACUUGCAAUCUCAUCUAAUCUUUCUGUUAUUUGUUUUACUUUUGCACUCAUUUUAAAACGAAAUGCAAUUGGAUUAGAACACGAAAAAAAGUUACCCACCUGUAAUCCAAAAAUCUACUAAUUAAUCUCACUAUCAAUUUUAACAGUUAAAUGUUAUAAAAAAAAUUCUCACAUGUUCUCAAUAUAAAAGAACUAAUUAGUAGAAAUUUUUACAAAAUUGAGAACCAAUUAAUAAAUUCUGAGACUAAAUACUAGAAUAUUUAAUAAUUAAAACUAAUGAAACGACUAAUUAAAAUAUUUUUAAUACCUUAAAGACGCUUAAUGUACUUUUUCAAAAUAAAGAGAACAACUAAUGAAUUUUUUCAUAUUAUAUGAAUUAAAUAGUAAAUUUUCCUUCCACAAAAUUAUAAAUGUCUUUAAUAUGGAAAGACUAAUUAGUAUGUAUUUUUAUAAAAUUUAAACACUAACUAAUGAGUUUUUUAUAUCACGGGAUUAAAUAGUAAUAUAUUUAAUAAUUAAAAUUAAUCAAAAAACUAAUUAGUAGAUGUUUUAAAAUAUAAAAGACGUUUUUGUAAAUCAAAAAAUUAAUUAAUGAAUUUUUCUAUAUUAUAAAAAUUAAAUAAUAAGUUUUUUAUAAUAAUAUAAAAAUAUAUUUUAAAAAUUAAUUAAAUAAAUAUGUAUUUAAAAACAUGCAUUUGAUUGAAUGAGAUGAAAUUUUAAAAUUUUUUAAUAAUAAUCUAAUAAAAGUUGUAAAGAAAAUAAGAAAAUUCAUAUUUAUAGUUUUUUAUUUUUAAUUUUUUUUUAUUUCAAAUAUUUUCUAAUAAGUAGUUAAAAUGAAAGCUUAAACGAAUAAAUUUUAUAUUUUUUAUAAAAUAAAAAAUAAAAAAUAAAAAAUAUGUAUUUAAAAACAUGCAUUUGAUUUGAAGAGAUAAAAUUUGAAAAUUUUUUAAUAAUAAUCUAAUAAAAGUUAUAAAGAAAAUCAAAGAAUUAAUAUUUGUAGUUUUUUUAUUUUUUAUUUUUAUUUAUUUCAAAUGUUUUGAAAACGCAAGGCUAUUAAAGAAUAAAUUUUAUAUUUUUUUACAAAAUAAAAAAUAAUAACGAUAAUGAACGCACCUAAAUGUGUUAUAAAAAAUUAAACUCAAAAUUAAUGUUCUGGGCUUGUUUUUGUUCUUUUACAAAAAAUUGAGAUUGAGAGAUUGAAUUUAAAUCUUUUAAGGUUCAACUUAAUAUAUUUACUAUAAAUCAAGUAUGUGAGUGUAAUAUUGUAGUAUUAAUUGAGAUUUAUAUAUUGUUUUAAAAAUAUAAAAAUUAAUUAGAAUCAAAUUAAAAAAAAUUAAUAUAUAAAUUUAUUUUAAUUCAAUUUUUUCUUUAUAUGGUUUGAUUUCAAUUUGUAAUACAUAUUAAAUUUAUGUAUCUAUAACAUAACUCAAAUAUCAGGGUGAAAUAAAAAUAAUUAUAAUUCUGAUUUUAUUGUAUUUUUUAAAUAGAAUUAAAUUAAUUUAUAUCGUUGAAUUAUGUUAAUAUGGUAAUAUUUUUAUUAAAAAAUGUACUAUCCUGUAAUUAAUUUUCUAAAAAAUAGAGAAUUAUAUUUCAAUUCAUUAACACGACAUGAAAUUUCAAAAUAAAACGAAAUCGUGCGCCUCGUACCUUUUUGCAGGUGGUUCCAUACAAUUGAAGCACUCGUCUUCUCUGAUCUUCACAUUCAAAUUCAUCAAGCACAUCCUCAGCAUCAUAAAGAGCAUCCUUAAGCUUAGCCAACCACAACCGCAGUUGAUGGUCAUUCACUUGCUUCUCCUCAGCAUCCAUUAGCACAGCUUUCACUGUCAACAAGAUAUCUUCAAGCUUUCUGAGUUCCGCUUUCAAGCCCCAUGCAAAACAUAUCUCUUGGUAGCUAUGUGAUGCUAUCUUCUCCAACACUUUCUCAGCAAUAUUAAAAGCGAAUGACUCUAUUGCCAUUUUUGUGGAUUUUGAUUUUUAUUUGAGUAUGAAUUGAGAUAGAUAACAAAAUUUGAAUGAAAAUCCCAUGCAUUUUAUAGCCUAGAAAACUCAUCUGGCAAGCAUCGAGUUUUCAAAGUUGUGAAUUAAGCAUAAAUUCUAUUCUUUCUGCUGUUGAACUUAAAGAUUAUACUAAGUCUUUGGAGUGUAAAAUUCUAUGUUCUCCCAUCUUCUUACUCAUUCUUGGUGUAGGCAAAAGUUACAAGCAACAUGAUGACCUUUGGGCCCAUUUGGUUUUGAAAAUAGAAAUGCAAUAUUGUAUAAAAAUUAUUUUCUCUAAAAACAUUUUUCUGUAUUUAUUUUUUCAAAAGAAUAAGUCAUUUCUUAUGUUUUAAAAAUCCUAUUAACCAUUAUAUAUUCUAUAUAUAAAUUUAUUAACAUCAACUAUUUUUUAAUAUUUUCACUUAACAAUGAAAAAUACAUUAUUUUUUAGAAAACAUUUUACAUACAAUUAUUUUGUUUUAGUUUUUUAAAGGAUAAAUUAUAAAUUAGUCAUAAGAUAUGUCAAAACUCAAAUGUCCCUCUUUGCUUUUUUGUUAGUAAUAAUUUUCCUUUAAUAUUUGAUUAUGUCAAUCAACAGAAUAAUACCUACAUUCUAGACAACAAGCAAUCUGGGAUUAGAAGACGGAACUUUUCCCUCGCUGAUGGGCUUUUUUCCGCUUGCAAAAUCAAUAGGAAGCCUAAACAAAAAUGCUCUUUCUAAUCUAUUUAUAAACUUCUUCAAUAUUUAUACUUGAAAAAUCAACAGGAAGCCUAAACAAAAAUGGGAUUCAAUUGAAGUUGGUAUAUCAGGAAUCCUACAUGGAAUUCCAUUUAAUAAUAUAUAAAAUGCAGCACUCCUGAUAUUAGAAAAAAUUAUUUCAUACAACUGUGAUAUAUAUAUAGUAAUUAUAUGUUAAUAAUUGUUUAUAAUAAAAUUUAUAUAGUAUUAUUAUGAUGAAUGGUUAUAAUAUCAUCAUUAUUGUAUUAUAAAAUUUCUCAAUGUGUAGGGCCAAGCCAGUAAAUUCUAGAUUUAAGCUAAAAUUUGAUGUCUCUCUGAGAAGACUUGGUUCAUCCAUCAUUGCAGGAAUUUCAACCAAAAUAUUCAUUUCUUGUAAAUAGAUUUGAGAAGGAUAAAAAAGUAGUGUAUCUUAUUGAUUAUGAAAAGUGCUUUAUAUAAGUAUUGCUAAUAACAAGAGCCCUAAAAUGACUCAGCAGAAUUAUCUAACAAAUUCAAAAAUUAGAAAACCUUAGCCUCUUUACACCCCUCAAGUUAGCAGUGGUGUCAACAACAGCUAACUUAUUAAAACAAUUAUUAAACAAGGUGUGUGACAACAGUUUUAUAAGCACAUCAGCAACCUGAUCAGUUGAAUGAAGAUGUUGCACAAUAACUUCUUUAUUUUGAACUUGAUUCCGCACAAAGUGAAAGUCUACUUCGAUGUGCUUCAUUCGACUGUGAAACAAAUAAUUUUGGCAUAAAUAAGUAGCACUUAUAUUAUCACAAUCAAUCGUUUGGUACAGAUUUUAGCAAAAAAUAAAGUUCUUUUAAUAUAUUAGUGAGCCAAUUACAUUCAACAAGAGAACUAGCAAUAGCAUGGUAUUCCAUCUCUAUUGAAGAACGUGAAGUUGUGUAUUAUUUUUUUAUGACCAACUAAUUGGAGUCAAACCCAAAUACACAAUAUAGUCUUUCGUGGAAGUCCGAUCAACUGAAUCUCCUACCCAAUCAGAAUCAUAAUAAACUAGUAAUCUAGUAUCCUCUGUGUGUGAAAUAUAAAGGCCAUGAUUACAAGUCCGAUUAAGAUAACGGAAAAGACGCUUCACAGCUCGCUAGAGAACUUCCAUUGGCUUAUGCAUAAAUUGAGAUAGCCUGUUAACAACAUAGGCAAAGUCAGGAUGCAGCUUCCCAAUAAUACUACAAUAGUUACUUUCAUCAACCUAAGAGCCCAAAUUUUAAAAUAAGGAUGUCACAGAAGUCAUAGAAGUAGCCACACCAUGACUACCAACCAUAUUUGUGUCAUGUAAUAAAUUUGCAAUAUACUUAGAGUGAGAUAAAUAUAGUCUAGUAUUAUGAUGCUGAACCUGAACACCCGUAAAAUAGUUCAACGUGCCAAGAUCCUUAAGUGAGAAUUGAAGUGACAGUCCUUGAAUAACUCUAUUCACAUCUUCUUAAUGAUUUCUUAUGACAAUUAUGUUGUUAACAUACACAAGCAAAUGCACAAUAAGACCUCAACAUUGUAAAAUAAAGAGUGAAGUAUACAUGAUUAAACCAACAGAUAACAAGUAAUGACCCAAUUCAUUGUACUAAGCUCGAGGAGAUUGUUUUAACCCAUAAAUAACUUUUUAAAGUCGACAAAUAUGAAACGUAUACUUAGGGUCUUCCAUGAGGUUGUCGCAUAUAAAUUACCUCUUCCAAACAACCUUGCAGAAAAGCAUUGUUACCAUCCAAUUGUCCAAGUGACCAACCAUGUUGAAUAGCAAUAGUAAGUACUAGAUGAACAGUAGCAAGUUUGAUAAUAAGAUUAAAAGUAGAGUGAUAGCCAAUGCUAGACCCCUGAAUAAAGCCUUUCGCAACUAAGUGAGCCUUGUACCGAUCAAUAUUGCCAUCUAGUAAGUAUUUUAUGGAAAAAUCUACCUGGAAUCAACCACAUUAGUAGAACAAUCCAUAGGAACAAGUACUCAAGUCCGAUUUCUAAUUAAGGUAUCAUGUUCUUUUUUUAUUUAUAGGUAUUGGGAAUAAAUUGAAAAUGAGUAAUUAAGGUAUGAAGAUUGAAUGGAACAUUAAGAGUGAAGAUACCAUGCUGAGAACGGGUUGUCAUUGCAUGUUGAUGAGUAGAAGGAAGUGGAGCAAUUGGAGGAAUUGAUGAAUUUAUGGAUAUACACUGAAUAGGAACAGAAGUCCUAUUUAAAGAAUGAGGCGAGAAAUGCGAUACGGGAGAAAAGAUGAUAGUAAAGUGUGAAUUACCUGUGGAAGACAGUUCUGGACUUGUAGUAGGAAUAAUCAUGGGCUGUGAGCUGUCGAAGACAGUUCUAGUUCUUACACAGAAUAGAUUGAGUGGGAGAAUUCCUGAGUUAGUUGGAAACUGCAAAGGCCUUUCGAAUAUCCGAAUUGGGAACAGUGAUCUUGAAGGAGUUACUCCAAAGGCAAUUGGGAACAUUAGUAGCCUCACGUAUUUUGAAGCAGAUGAUAAUCAUUUAUCUGGUGAUAUUAUCUCUGAGUUUGCUCAGUGCUCUUAUAUUAAAUUGAUAAAAUUAAAAAAUUUAUAAUAAUAAUAAUGUAGAUUAUUUUUUAAUAUUUUAAAUUUUAAUUUAAAAAAAAAAAAACUUUAAUUUUAAAAUAAAUUUAUAAUUGACACCCUAAAUUUAAAAAAUUACUAAUUAAACCUGACUUUUUUAAAUUGUAAUAAAUUGUGUUCCAAAUUUUGUUGACGUGGGAGGAAAAUAAUAUUAAUCUCUAAUAAAAAAUCUAAUGUCAAGAUAUAAUUAAAAUAAAUAUAAAAGUGUAGAGUUUAAUAGAUAAAUAGGGUGCCGGUUAAAUUAUUUCUGUUAUUAUUAACUCUAUUUUCAUUACUAAACUAUUUUUGUAAUCAAUAAAUUUUUUUAACAUAUAUUGAAUAUAUAGGAGUACAUUAAAACGCUAAUAUGUUAUCAUCUAAAAAAAUUUCUCAUACUUUUGGGAUAAAAUCAUAUUAUUGUUUUAAGAUUAAAUAUAAAUUUCCUUUAAAUUUUAAAAUUAAAUUAUUUUAAAACAUUUUAUUAUUUUGCAGUUGUUUAUAAAUUUAUUUCAUUUGAGUAUAUAUGUAUAAUAUAUAAAAAUAAAAUAAAAUAUUAAAUUCCUAAAACAUUUCUAUGAUAAAUCUGUUUCUAAAAAUCAAAAAAUUAAAAAUUAGUUCUGAUUCAAAUGGGUGUGCAUUCCAAAAUGAAACGAAAUUGUCUCCUACCUUUUUGCUGGUGGUUCCAUAUAAUUGAAGCACUCGUCUUCUCUGAUCUUCACAUUCAAAUUCAUCAAGCACAUCCUCAGCAUCAUAAAGAGCAUCCUUAAGCUUAGCCAACCACAACCGCAGUUGAUGGUCAUUCCCUUGCUUCUCCUCAGCAUCCAUUAGCACAGCUUUCACAGUCAACAAGAUAUCCUCAAGCUUUCUGAGUUCUGCUUUCAAGCCCCAUGCAAAACAUAUCUCUUGGUAGCUAUGGGAUGCUAUCUUCUCCAACACUUUCUCAGCAAUAUUAAAAGCGAAUGACUCAAUUGCCAUUUUUGUGGAUUUUGAUUUUUAUUUGAGUACGAAUUGAGAUAGAUAACAAAAUUUGAAUCAAAAUCCCAUGCAUUUUAUAGCUUAGAAAACUCAUUUGGCAAGCAUCGAGUUUUCAAAGUUGUGAAUUAAAGCAUAAAUUCUAUUCUUUCUUCUGAUGAACUUAAAGAUUAUACUAAGUCUUUGGAGUGUAAAAUUCUAUAUUCUCCCAUCCUCUUACUCAUUCCUGGUGUAGGCAAAAAUUACAAGCAACAUGAUGACUAUUUAUUUUAAAAUUUCACGCUAUUUUACACCCAUAUAUGAAUAUAUACUAUUUAUUUUAAUUUAUACAUUUUUGUCUAAACCAAGUUUACAUGAACUGAACUGAUAAUAUAAUGUAAAAUAAUAAUCUCUUUUAUCGAUCAAUGGGUAUAAUAUUACUUGAACGAAUUAAUUUUAAAAUUAUAUUACCCUCUUUUAAAAUAUCAAAGUUGUAUUUUAAUUAACUUUUCUAUUUCUGUGGCUUUCGAUUUAAGAAAAAUUUAUUAGACUCUUUAAUUAAUUUUAAAACUCUUUCAUAUCCUUAAUCAAUUUUUUAAAUAUAAGACUAUAGGUUCUAAUCCUUUAUUUUUCAUCAUUAAUUUUCAUCUAUUAAUACAUCAAUUAAUAAUUAAAAAUAUAAUUUGAUUGGUCAAAUACUCAACUCAUUGAUAAAAAUUAGUUUAAAUUUAAAAUUAAAAUAGAGUAUUAUAUAUUGACCAAGGGAGUGAUAAGGAUGUGUUCACCCCCUGGAGUAAUAAGGCUGACUAUAGGACUUGAGCCUGGAGAGAUAAGGUUGGUAAUUGAUUCUGCUGAUUUUCAGUAAUUUAGAGUUCUACGAGUUAUACGUUCUAUUACAUAUGGUAGUCUAACAAUAUAUUGUGCCGUACUUCUAGCUAUUUAGUUAUUUUUGUAAUCUAUUUAAACAGAGUACUAUGUCUCUGUUUAUCAUUGAGGAAUACAUGAAUUAAUUCAUUUUUAUAAAAUCUUUUUCGCCAUUUUUUUUCUAUUCUCUUGUUGGUAUCAGAGCGGGUUCGUAUCCGCCUUCUUCUUCUCCAAAAGUUUUUUUUCUCUUCUCACGAAAUGGCUUCCUCUUCCUUAAAUGUUACAAAUUGUGUUACCUUAAAGCUAAAACAAACGAAUUACCCCUUAUGGAGGGCUCAGUUGCUAAGCCUAGCUGAGAGCCAAGAUCUGUCUGAUCAUCUGACGGCAGAAUUUCCAGAAGACCAAAAAUUUGUGGCUGCUCCCUCACCAAUUCCCGAAAAUUAUCAGCCUCAGCUUUCUAAUAAUUUCAAAGCGUGGCAGAAAUCAGAUCGGUUACUUCGUGGGUGGAUUUAUGGAACCCUAAGCGAAGAAUCUCUAGGGCUCGUUAUCGGUCUGGAAACAGUAAAGACUGUUUGGGAAGCUCUGAAAGAUGCUUAUGCUCAAGACUCCCAGGAGAGAGAGUUUAAUCUACGACAACAACUAUCCUACUUUCGCAAAGAUGAAAGUAAAACGAUAACAGAACAUCUGCGGCUUUUCAAAGAAAUCUGCGAUAACCUUACCGCGAUUGGGAAAACAGUUCCAGACAACGAAAAGGUAUUCUGCCUUCUUACAAGUCUGGGGCCUCAGUUCGAAGAUUUUACUACUACCAUGCUUAAGCCUCCAAGACAGACUUUUAUAGAACUGAUCUCUCAGUUGAAGAGUUUAGAGCAACGAAGAAGUUGGUUUAUGAGUCAGUCUGAUGCCUCUAUGGGUCAAAUUUCGUCCCACGUUGCAUUCUAUGGAAAUCAACAAAGACAACCAAAUUCCAGUUCCAGUCGGCGCUCAAAUUUUACUUCUCAAGGACGAGGCUUCCGAGCGCAACAACCUCGUGGUCAGAAUUAGGGAAGAGGAAACUCAACUACUCAACGUCGUACACCUCCCUCUAGGCACCGACGUAUGACUGCAGAAGAACGUGAACUUUACAAAGAUGAAGUCUGCCAAUACUGUGGCAAACCUGGGCAUAUCGCCAAAAUUUGCUGGUGGAUUCCUAAAUCACCUUAAGAAAAUCUACCUCAAGCUCUUGCUGCACUUACUCUGGACAACGGAGUAGUAGAUGCUGACUGGAUUGCCGACUCAGGUGUGUCUCAUCACAUGACAGGUAACAAAUUUAUUUUAGACAAUUUUAAAGAGUAUUCUGGUAUGGAUUCUAUUGCUAUUGGUGAUGGGUCUUCCUUGUCUAUAAAUGGUAUAGGUAGUACUAGCAUUAAGCAAAAGCGUUGUUUGCUUGUUUCUGAUGUUUUAGUUGUACCUGAUUUAAAAUAGAAUUUGCUUUCCAUUAGCCAAAUAACUGAUGAUUUUCCUGUUAAUUGUGAGUUUUCUAAUAAGUCUGUUUGUGUGAAGGACCGAAAAAUGGGACAAAUCCUACUAACAGGACCAAAGAAGCAUAAUCUUUAUACCUUGUCUGCAGCUCCCAAAGCUUAUUUUUCAAACCGUUUUAAAGCAGGCACAGCAGUUAUUUGGCACCAGCGUUUAGGACAUCCUCAAGCGUCUGCAGUUUCUACUUUAAGUAAUAAGAGGUUAAUAGAUGUUAGAGGUUCUGUUCAAAUAAAAAAUCUGUGUGAUAGUUGCCAAUUAGGAAAAUUAAGUAGAUUUCCUUUUAGCAGUUCUGUUCAUUCUAGUUCAUGUGCUUUUGAUAAAAUUCAUUGUGAUCUGUGGAGUCCUGCCCCUGUUUUGUCGAUUGAAAAAUUUAGAUAUUAUGCAUGCUUUGUUGACGAUUUUACCAAAUAUUGUUGGAUCAUUCCAUUAAAACAAAAGUCUGAUUUCUUUGCUACCUUUCUUGCUUUUGAGAAGUUUGUGUUUAGACAAUUUGGCAAAAAUAUUAAAGUUUUUCAUUCAGAUGGAGGGGGUGAAUUUGUUAAUUCUGCUUUGUCAUCUCAUUUUCUUGCUAAUGGUAUAAAACAUCAAAUUUCGUGUCCAUAUACGCCUGAACAAACAGGCAUGGUAGAACGGCGUCAUCGAGUCAUUCGCGAGUUAGGUAUGACUAUGUUAUUUCAUGGUCAUUUACCUUUAUUUUUAUGGGUUGAAACAUUUCAAACUGCUGUGUUUUUACUUAAUCGCUUACCUUCUGAUUCUUUACAACAUAACACACCGUUUUACAUGUUGAAUGGAUAUGAUUUUGACUAUAGUUCCUUACGUGUGUUUGGGUCUAAAUGUUUUCCUUAUAUUUGGAAUACUAAAUGUCACAAAUUUGAUCCAAAGUCUUGUCUUUGCGUGUUUGUUGGCUAUAGUGAUAGACACAAGGGGUAUAAGUGCUAUAAUCCGACAACAAGGAAAUUUAUUAUUUCCAGGCAUGUAAGUUUUGAUGAACAAAUAUUUCCUUAUAAGUCUUCUGUUACGGAUUCGUUAUAUGUGUCAUAGGUUAUGAAUCCUUGGGUUAAUUCAAGUUCCACUUCUAGUGUAGACGAGGCAACUUCAGACAACGAGUCUAGUCCUAUUUUAACAGUUUCAUGUGUGCAGGGUCUUGCAGAAUCACCUGGCACUUCUGAUCUUCCUCCACAAAAUGUUUUGAAUGAGAUUACUCCUUUCCCUUCUUCUAGUGAUACGACUGACGCUACUCAUAAGUUACAUGUUGAUAGUGCUUUUAAUACUCUUUCUGCCCCUAAUAAUGAUGCUCCUUCAGAUGUUUCUCCUAGUUUUGUGCAGGAAUCUCCAAAUAUUGCAGGUUUACCGACUGCAGAACCACGUUUGCUGCUAGAAUCAGUUGCCUCAGAACCGAUUACGGCAGCAGCAACUGCUAGUUUAUCUGCAGUAGAACCGCAGUUGCUACUAGACUCAGAUGUCUCAGACCCGGUUACGGCAGCAGAGGCUGUUCCUUUAGCUAUCGUUGCUCCUGCUGUACCUGCCAGUCCAGACUUCCAUUCAAGUGCUACGGAGACUGAGCAUAUUGACGAAGUUUCAAAUGUAGCACUAGGCAGCCACCAAUCUCCUGCACCAGCUUCUGUCGAUAUACAAUGUUCUGCUGCUGCUCCCUUCGACGGUACUGCAGUUGCAGUCCCAGCAGGUAUGACUAUUGUUAACUCAGCUCCUAGACACACUAUGGUCACACGGUCACAAUUAGGAAUUGUCAAACCAAAUCCGCGCUAUGCGUUGUCUGUUACCUUGUUGAACUCUAUUCCUAGAGAGCCUAAGACUGUUAAGGCAGCACUUGCACAUGAUGGUUGGCGUCAAGCCAUGGUUACUGAAAUAGAUGCUUUACACAGGAAUAAUACUUGGGACCUUGUUCCUUAUAGGGACGGGUUGCAUAUAAUAGGUUGUAAAUGGGUGUUUAAAGCCAAAAUUAAACCAGAUGGCACGAUAGACCGACUAAAGGCUCGGUUAGUAGCCAAAGGAUUCCAUCAACUGGAUGGCGUCGACUACACUGAAACUUAUUCACCCGUUAUCAAACCUGGCACGAUUCAUACUGUUUUAACUGUUGCUUUAGUUAAAAAAUGGCCAAUAAGGCAGUUAGAUGUUACAAAUGCUUUUUUGCAUGGUUAUGUUACUGAGGAUUUGUUCAUGGAGCAACCACCAGAGAUGACAAAUCCGGACAAGCCAACGCAUGUGUGUAAGUUAAAACGAGCUCUCUAUGGACUCAAGCAGGCUCCUCGUGCCUGGUUUGACCGGUUAAGUCAGUUUCUCAUUGCUUAUGGUUUCUUUUGCAGUUUGGCGGAUCCUUCAUUAUUUGUUUUUUAUUGUUCUAAUGAGAUAUUAGUGCUUUUGGUUUAUGUUGAUGAUAUGCUACUCACGGGUUCGUAUGUAGCUCUUGUUGAUGAUUUUAUUAAGGUGUUAUACGCAGAAUUCUCCAUGAAAGACUUGGGACCAAUCCAUCAUUUCUUGGGUGUUAAAAUGGAUACCACAGCCACUGGCCUUCAUUUAUCACAGACGCAUUAUGCCUACUCCAUUUUGGAGCGUGCCCAGAUGGUUGAUUGUCAGCCAAUGCCCACUCCAUUAGACCUUAAACACAAUCCGCCAAUUGAUUCUGAACCACUUUCCGAUCCAACAUCUUUUCGAGGCAUUGUCGGGUCCUUGCAAUACCUCACUUUAACCAGACCUGACUUGUCUUUUAGUGUAAAUUUUGUGUCCCAAUUCAUGCAUUCACCUACUCAUGCUCAUCUGAAAUAUGUUCGUCGCAUCUUGCGUUAUUUAAAGGGCACGAUACAUUAUGGUCUCAAUCUUUGUUUCGAUACUACACUUGCUCUUUCUGUCUUUUCUGAUGCAGAUUGGGCAGGCUGUCCGACGACGCGACGGUCAACUACAGGCUAUUGCACGUUCCUAGGCUCGAAUAUCAUUUCCUGGUGUGCGAAGAAGCAGUCCACAGUUGCUCAGUCCAGUACAGAGGCUGAGUAUCGUGCCAUGGCUCAUACAGCAACUGAGCUUACAUGGCUUGGAUAUAUUCUAUCUGAUCUUCGGAUUUUUCCUCCACACCCACCGAAACUUUUUGCAGACAAUAUCAGUGCUCUAUUCCUCACAGUCAAUCCAGUAUUUCACGCUCGAAGUAAACAUAUUGCGUUGGAUUACCACUAUGUAAGAGAGCGGGUAGCUCAAGGGGCUCUUAUUACUCAACAUAUUCCUUCCACUUGUCAGCUAACUGAUGUAUUCACUAAAUCAGUUCCUAAGGCUCGUCUUGCGUUCUUUCGACACAAACUAUGUCUCCAACCUCGGCAUAGUUUGAGGGGGGAUAUUGACCAAGGGAGUGAUAAGGAUGUGUUCACCCCUUGGAGUAAUAAGGCUGACUACAGGACUUGAGCCUGGAGAGAUAAGGUUGGUAAUUGAUUCUGCUGAUUUUCAGUAAUUUAGAGUUCUACGAGUUAUACGUUCUGUUACAUAUGGUAGUCUAACAAUAUAUUGUGCCGUACUUCUAGCUAUUUAGUUAUUUUUGUAAUCUAUUUAAACAGAGUACUAUGCCUCUGUUUAUCAUUAAGGAAUACAUGAAUUAAUUCAUUUUUAUAAAAUCUUUUUCGCCAUUUUUUCCUAUUCUCUUGUUUAUAUACCUAAUUUUUAAAUCUAGAAAAACUAUCCAUUAAUCAUGCUAUUUACAAAGAAAAUUUCAAAAUAAAAAUAAAGGAUACAUGAAAUUAGUAAAGGAGAAGAAAAAUCCAAAUGAAAAGCUAUUGAAAUAUUGAAAAUCUAUGCGAAGAGAGUCUCCAUUUGUGAAUUUGCAGCUACCCCUCAUUUUCUGCAAGAGAUUUUUAUGUUAAUAGUGUAGAGAAAAGGUGAGGAAGAUGAUUCCAGUGAGAAGGGACUGCUCUCUUCUUUAUUAUAGUCUUCUCUCCCUUCAAAAUGAAGAUAAAGACAAACACAUACUCUCAAAAAAUCUGACAAGUAAAGAUAAAAGGUUGUCGUUUGUUAUAGAAAUUAAUAUUAAUUUCUACGUGUGUGUAUAUAUAUAUAGAGAUGAGAUGAGGUGGCAGACUGACAGACAUAAGCUAUAACACAAUUUUGUAGCUGCUUAUGCAACUUUUUAUCAUUCUUGAAGUAAAUCAUCUCUUAAAAAUAAAUUGACAUGCCUUUUUCCUACAAGAUAAAGACAAAAUUAUCUAUAAAAUAUUAAUAAAAAUUAAUUAAAAUUAUUAAAAAAAUCAAAUAGAUAAAUAAAAAUUACUUACAUAGACAAAAUAAAUGUAAAAAUAUACUUCAAAUAUAUAUAUAAAAAUUGAGGUUAACAGCAUUCAAUGAUUUGAGUGAGUUCAGCUACAUGCAUGACUAGUUCAUUUAUUAAAUUCAUCAAAUAUGUAAAGAUAAGAAAGGCUGAUAAAUGAAAAAUGAAAAGAAUCUAAAAUAAAUGAAAAAUGUGUCUACCUAAAGUAGUUCCCAUGUAGCAUUUUCAUAAAGUGGCAGAUCUCUCAAGCCUGAACUUGAAACCUUGCUUGAAUUGAAGACCAAGCUAAAGCUUUUCACAAGUAAAUGUAUAAUAAAAGAGCAUCAAGUAAUAGAGACAGUUUGUGUAACAUUAGGUAUGACACUAUUUACAAUAUAAAAAUAAAAAGUGACAAGAGUUUAGAGAUGCAUAUGUAUUACUAAUUUUUUACAACACAAUAUCAAAUACAAAUAUUACUAGAUUCAACAAUUCUCACAUUUUCAUCUGAAUUUCCAUACUCAAUAGGCACACAAGAAUCUAAAGUAGACAAUUCCUCAAUAGACCUGAAAUCAAAAAUAUAAAUAAAAUUAUUAUAUUUUCCUUAAAUUAUAUGCAUAUACUAUAUCAUUUCAAAUGCAUAUAAAUUAAAAAGAGAGAAUUUAAUUUAAAUAAUAAUUUUAGACGAAGGAAAAAGAUCAUUUAUACAUACUUAAUCAUCUGCUGAAUCGAUGUCAGAACCAUCAAUAACAAUUUUAGGAAUAUGAGCAAUCUUAAACCAAUCUUCACCUUUUCCAGGUUCACAUCUUUCGCUCAAUUCAUUACAAUCUUCAAUCUCUAGUUGUUGGAGAGACAUUAUAUUCUGUAUGCACACAGGCAAUUCUUUGAGAUAUUCACAACUUUCUAAUUUUAAAAACUGGAGAGUGUUGAAGGAUCCUUGAAUAAGCCAUUCUGGAAAAUCCACCAAUUUUGGUAACUUCUUAAGUACCAGCUUUUGAAGGUUGAAUUGAGCCAAGUGUUUAUCAUCUUUUCCUUUCUCCUCCAAUGUCAAAUUGAGGUUUUCACAAUUGCCAAUAGCAAGAAUCUCCAAUGCAGUGAGGUACUUCAUGCUUUGAGGCAAAGAGAUUAAGCUUUCACAAUCUCCAAUAAUAAGUGUUCGAAGAUGUUUGAGGCCUUGCAUAUCUUCAAAUAAGUGUUCUAGUUUUUCACAGCUACCAAUGCCCAAAAAUCUAAGAGAUGUCAAGCACCCUAUUCCAUUCAUCGGCAAACACUUCUGCUUUGUGGAAAACAGUAGAAAUCUAAGGUUGAUCAAGUACCUUAUAUCACUAGGUAACUCCUCAAUACUGUCACUUAAUACUAAAGUUUGUAAAUUGUGUAACUUGCAAAUGGAAUUGGGAAGCUUUUUAAUUGUAGAAUUUCCAUGUACAUGGAGAUAUCUCAAAUGCUUUAGAGCACCAAUCCGAUCUAGUGAUAUUUCUAAUUUGGAAUGAGCCAAAUCCAACAUUCGCAAAUAUUGAAAUCUCAAUAAAUAUGAAUCCAAGUCUGAUUGGCCGCUAGGCCUCUUUUUAUCACUCUGGAAUAUGGCAGUUCGCACACGGUCUAAACCUUGUAAAAGGGUGGAAAGAUCUUGGGGAAGUGAAGUGGAGUUAGGAAAUAGCAAAUGGCGAACAUUGUGUGAGAUGUGUGUGGUGCUUGAGGUUAUUGCUAAAAAUUCAUUUUGUGUCAACGAUAAUGCAAGAUCAUGUACUAGAUCAUGCAUUUUACAUGUAAUCAAUGUGUCCUCAAGAAUCCCAAAAUCUUGAAAAAAAGAUCUAGAUCCCAACUCCUGAAAAUAACGCAACCCAAUAUCUUCCGGUUCUUCAUCUUGGUUGGCUGAUUCAAGUAGUCCAUGUGCCAUCCAAAAUUGAAUUAAUAUCAAAUCAUAGAAUUCAUAGUCCUUUGGAUAAAAAGAGCAAUAAGCAAAGCACUUUUUCAAAUGAGCAGGCAACUGCUCGUAACUUAAUCUCAAAGCAGGUAAAAUAUCAGUUUCCUUCUGCUCUAUCUUCCAUAACUCGCUAUCUCUUAUAGACUUCCAAUAACUUUCAUCAGUAUUCAGAAGAAGAAGUGAUGCUAAUGUCUUCACUGCCAAUGGAACCCCUUUGCAUUUUUUGACAAUUUCAACCCCAAUUUUUAACAAGUUUGGAUAUCGCUUCACUUGGCCUUCUUUAAAUGCAAAUUUAGUAAACAAAGCCACACACUCAUCUUCAGGAAGACCCGAUAGCUCAUAUGCUUUUGGGAUGGUGCCCAUAAUGGAGGCUACUUUAUUACUACGUGUAGUUACUAAGAUUUUGCUUCCAUUGGCACCCAUACACAAGAGCUCUUUCAAUUGGUUCCAUUUCAUAGGGUCAUCAUUCCACACAUCAUCUAAGAUGAGCAAAUACUUCUUAUCACCAAUGAUUUCCCUCAAAAUUCUUUGUAACUGAUCCAUUUCCAUUUUGCUCAACUUCUCUACAUGUCUCAUUCCGUCUUCUGUAGAUUUAAUAAUUUUCUCUGUCAAAAUCUUUAUGUCAAAUUCUUCUGAUACACAAACCCAUAUCUGAAGUUGAAAAUGAUUCCUUACCCUUUCAUCAUUAUAAACAAAUUUAGCGAGUGAAGUUUUUCCCAACCCUCCAAUUCCAACAAUAGGAAUGACAGAGAUUUGCUUGCUAUCAGUAGAGUCUUGUAAAAGUGUAAUGAUAUUUUCUUUAUCAUCAUCUCUACCUAUAACUUCAGAUGCUUGUACAAAUGAGUGAGUGAGUGCUCUUUCUCUAGGCAUAACAUGCCUACUUUCAUAUCGUUCAGUGAGGUGAAAAUUAGAUUUCUGACUUGCAAUCUCAUCUAAUCUUUCUCUUAUUUGCUUUACUUUUGCACUCAUUUUAAAACGAAAUGCAAUUGGAUUAGAACAUGAAAAAAAGUGACCCACCUGUAAUCCAAAAAUAUACACUAUUGAUUUCAUAUGCUUACAUCUAGACGUAAUCAGGAACUAAUCAAUUAAUAUAAAAGCAUGCUUUUCUUAAUGACUAAUCAAUUCGGUCUAGUUAUAAAUAAUUUAUAAUUCAAUUUUUUUUCAAAAUUUUUCAAUUUAAUUUAGUUUGACUAGUUGCACAUAUCUAUUUUAAAAUCAUUUAUCCUGAACAUACUAUGAUGAAGUUGGCAUGAGAAUAUGCCUAAUUAUAGUUUUAAAAAAAUAAUAAGAAAAAAUUGCUAUGAAGAAAUUUACUAAUUAAUUUUUUAAUUUUUAAAAAUAUAUUAAAACGUUUUUAAUAUUUUAAAAAAUUUACUAAUUAUUUUUUCAUUAACUUUUAUAUUAAACAUUUUAUUAUUUAGUUCAUAUAAUUUUAAAAAACUUAUUAGUUGGUCCCUUAUAUUUUUAAAAAAUUUACUAACUACUCCCUCUAUAUUAGGGUCAGUUGAAGACUUUUUUACAACACUUAAUGGCUAAAUUUAACAAAAUGACUAAUUUGUAAACCUUUUAAAAUAUCAGAAAUAUUUUAAUACAUUUUUUAAAAUCGAAAGACCGAUUAGUGAGUUUAUUAUACUAUAAAAACUAAAUAGUAAUUUUUCUAAAUAAUAAUCGUUUUGUAUUACCUACAGUUUUAUUAUUUUUUUAUAGUAUAUAUUAACCUUACAAGUUUUUAAAUAUAAUUAUUUUAAUUUAUUGGACUUCAUGAUACAAUUUUUAAAAAGUACUAAAAAUUCAAUAACACUUAUAAUUUUAUUAUUUAUAUUAUUUUAAUUCGUAAAAUAAUUAAAAAAACAACAACAUAUAUCAAAAGUAAUAUAUAAUCUAAAAAAUAUAACCUUCAAUGCACUUUGGAAAUUUUAUUUUGUUCCUUUCUUUCUUUAUAGAGUUGAUGUAUUUUCCUUUCUGAAGUUAAUUCACACAUUUUCAUAUUAUCUCCCCACCAAAAUAUAUAUAGAUUUAAUACAGUUAAAAUAGUAAUAUAUUCAUGUGUUAAUAAAAAAAAAUCUAUUUCUUUUUCCAUUUUAUAAUUGUACCUUAUUUUUUUUUAUGGUUGACCAAUUAAAUCUCAUAUUUUAAUAUUUAUUUCAAUUAACGAAAUUAUCAAGUUAUCUGACACGUUAUUGUCACUGUCACUCUACUAUUUCAGCGAAUUUCAAAGUAUAAUGAAUUAAAACUUAAAAAAUUAAGAUUUAAUUAGUAAAUUUUUAAAAUUUAAGGUGUAACUAUAAUUUUUUUUAAAAGUUAAAUUUUUUUUAUUAUUUUUUUUAAAAUUAAAAUUGAUAAUAUUAAAAAAUAAUUUAUAGUAUUAUUAUAAAUUUUUUAAUUUUAUAAGUUGUGCAUUCCAAAAUGAAAUUAUAAGUUGUGCAUCCCAAAAUGAAAAGAAAUUGCCUCCUACCUUUUUGCUGGUGGUUCCAUAUAAUUGAAGCACUUGUCUUCUCUGAUCUUCAGAUUCAAAUUCAUCAAGCACAUCCUCAGCAUCAUAAAGAGCAUCCUUAAGCUUAGCCAACCACAACCGCAGUUGAUUGUCAUUCACUUGCUUCUCCUCAGCAUCCAUUAGCACAGCUUUCACUGUCAACAAGAUAUCUUCAAGCUUUCUGAGUUCUGCUUUCAAGCCCCAUGCAAAACAUAUCUCUUGGUAGCUAUGGGAUGCUAUCUUCUCCAACACUUUCUCAGCAAUAUUAAAAGCGAAUGACUCAAUUGCCAUUUUUGUGGAUUUUGAUUUUUAUUUGAGUACGAAUUGAGAUAGAUAACAAAAUUUGAAUCAAAAUCCCAUGCAUUUUAUAGCUUAGAAAACUCAUUUGGCAAGCAUCGAGUUUUCAAAGUUGUGAAUUAAAGCAUAAAUUCUAUUCUUUCAGCUGAUUAACUCAAAGAUUAUACUAAGUCUUUGGAGUGUAAAAUUCUAUAUUCUCCCAUCUUCUUACUCAUUCUUGGUGCAGGCAAAAGUUAAAACCAACAUGUUGACCUCUGGGCCCAUUUGGUUUUGAAAAAUUAGGGGCGAGCGGAACCGAAUAAAUCACGAAAUUUUGAUAUUUUAUGAAAAUUAAAUUGAAUUGAUUUUGGUUAAAAAUAAAAUUGAAUCGAAUCGGUUUGAUUCGAUUUGAUUUAAAUUUUUAAUAAAUUUUUUAUUUUUUAUACUUUAUUUUUAGUAUUUUAAAAUUUAAUUAAAAUAUUUUAAUUUUAAUAUGAUAUAAUCUCUCAUUAAAAAUAAUAUAUCAUUAUUAUUAAUCGAUUCGCUUUAAUUUUUUAAUUUUUUUAUUAAAAUCAAACAAAACUGAAAUAAUUAAAAUUUUUAAAAUUAAAAAUUAAACUGAAUGAAAUCAAAAUAAUAAAAAAUCAAACUAAAUUUUUCAAAUUAAUUCAAUUCGGUCAAUUUUUUCGAUUUAAAAAAAUAUCUUUCAUUUAAUAGAAAAAUUAAGUUACUUUUAAAAAUAUGAAUUUCUUUUUUAAAGGGUAAGUGAUUUUUAUAUUUUAAUGAUUUUAUUAAAGCCAUUGUAUAUUUUAUAUAUAAAUUUAUUAACGUCGUUUCUUUUUAAAUAUUUUUUUCAACAAUGAAAAGUAAAUUAUUUUUAAAAAACAUUCACGAAAAUUAUUUUCUGGGAUAUUUUCUCUGGUCCAUUCUCUUGUUUGCCUUGUUACAAGUGUUUCAAAUCCUAAUGGCUAACUUUUUUCCUAAUGAAAUAUAUUUCUUCAUAAAAUUUUAAAUUAAAGGGUAUUAUAUAAAAAAAUUUAAAUGUUUACUAUCAUUUAUAUUUAUGUUUAAUGUUUUAAAAUUUAAAUAGUAAACUCAAACUUUUUUAAUUUGCUUAAUUAUAAUUAAAAGGAACUAAAAAAAUUAAUAAUAAAUUAUAAUAUAAGCUUAAAAAUUUUAUAUUAUUAAUAAAACAUANNNNNNNNNNNNNNNNNNNNNNNNNNNNNNNNNNNNNNNNNNNNNNNNNNNNNNNNNNNNNNNNNNNNNNNNNNNNNNNNNNNNNNNNNNNNNNNNNNNNNNNNNNNNNNNNNNNNNNNNNNNNNNNNNNNNNNNNNNNNNNNNNNNNNNNNNNNNNNNNNNNNNNNNNNNNNNNNNNNNNNNNNNNNNNNNNNNNNNNNNNNNNNNNNNNNNNNNNNNNNNNNNNNNNNNNNNNNNNNNNNNNNNNNNNNNNNNNNNNNNNNNNNNNNNNNNNNNNNNNNNNNNNNNNNNNNNNNNNNNNNNNNNNNNNNNNNNNNNNNNNNNNNNNNNNNNNNNNNNNAUUUCAUCUAAGUACAAUUUAAAAUACUUUUUCUAAUAAUUAUAAAAAUAAAUAAUUAAUUAAAUUUAUAUGCAAAAACUGUUCUAUAAAAAGUACAUUUAAAAUAUUAUUAAAAAACAAUUGAAAAAGUUGUUAAUUAUUUUGGAGGAUUAGGUAUUACUUAUUAUUUGAUAAAUUUAAUUAACACUUCAAUAAUUAAAAAAUAAUUAAAAAUUCGAAAAAAAUGAAAUAAUAUCAAUUCUAAAAAUAAUAGUAUUUCAUAUUUGAAUUGUAACAAAUAUAUUUAGUUUUUAUUAAUUAAAUAAAAAAGAUUUAUUAUUAAAAUAAUAUAAAUUAAAAUUAUUUUUAUAAAUUUAAUGUGAUCUUAAAACAAUUUACACAAUAAGUAUUAAUUAAAGAAAAUGCGAUUCAAAAAACAUUUUAUUUUCUAUGCGAGUGAUCUUAAAAAAGUCUCUAAAAUUAGGAUUUCAAAUUUAAUUUGACCUAAUAUGACUUAUUACUUUUAAAAUCAAACUUUACAAAUUAUUUUAAAAAAAAAUUGUAAACAAGCAAUAGAAAAACCAUAUUUCUAAAAAAGAAUGAAAUUACAAUAUUAAUCCCAUUGAUGUGGAUCCAAUUCGUCCUCACGUUUUUUCCUUCCAGAAACUUAUGCAUCCACUGCUUUCUUCUAAAUAUUCCAAGAUUAAAAUCAAUGCUACAAUAUAACAUGAUCUUUCCAACUUGAUUCUUUAAAUCACAUAUAAAAACAUUAAUGCCAAAGAAACCAUAAACACAGCCGAAUCUGACUCACAUUUAUUUGAUUCAUUCAGUAUAGGCAACAGCAUUUGUCAAUCAAACCCAUUUCCAGGAAAGAGUAUGCAAAUAAAAAGAAACAAAGAUCCCAUCAUCUCAACUGAUCAUGGCUGUGUUGGGGUACUAAAACCAGAUAAAACAUUACCAAUAAAAGGCAUUAGCUAUAGAUAACGCAGCAGAUCACCAGCUAAAAUUUUGGUUCAAGAUUCACGAGACUUCACAAUGAAGUUCUGGCGACUGAUUGGAUUCAUCACAACUGGAGGCCCAGCGGUGCGUGGCCAUGCCUGGAAUUUCUUGUCAGUUUCUUCCCACCACUCAUUGGUUGCAACAGUUUUAGGUGUAGUGCCUAAGAAUAAGAAAAUAGUAAAACAAAAAGAUUAGUGAAUAGGUAUAAAAUACACCUUAUACCAAACAAGACAUAUAUAUAUAUUACCUCCAAAUAUCUUCUUGUCAGCAAUAAGAUGGUCAAAUGCAUACGCAAUUGCAAAUGAUCCAGCUACACCAGCAAUGACCGUGGCUGCCCUGCUCAUCCUGCAAAAGAAAGAACUCAACAUGAAAAGGAACUUGCGAUGACUAACCUCAUACAUCAUAGUUCAAUGAUUAAUUUAAAAUAUUCAUCUUGUUAUUAAAAAACAAAAACAAACAUCCCAAGCUUUCUCAAUGGUGUGGGCUUUUACCACAUCUCCGAAAGCUUUAGAUCUGACUCUUAAGUUCAACUCAGCUGUGGUUCUCAGGAAAUCUAGAAUUGAAAAAGAACUGAAUUUAUAGAAAUCAAGCUAAAUUUAUGUUACUUCUUGAUCUGAUUCCAGUUCUUUACCAAAAUCUGAAUAUAAAACAAAUAUAACCUGAACCAAAGCCAAAACUAAGUGAACAAAUAUAUAUGCAAUUACAAUGAAUUUCAUUAUAAUUAAUUAGGAUUAGGGGGUAAAUUUUACCCAUGGUACCUAAACUUCAAUUGAAGUAACCAAAAAAACCACAUUUCACCUAUUAGCGAGUUUAGAGGUUAAAAUAAGUUAAUUUAUUAUUUAAUUUUUAAAUACAGUUAAAUAUUACUUCAAUAUCCUCAUGUAAAAAUAUCUCUUCUCUCUCAUUCAUCCCUUUUCCCUCCCAUCCAGUUGUCCUCCACCAAUUCUCUAAAUGAACUCUUUCAUAAAGCUUCUUCAGCACCACUGAGCUUAACGAAGUCCGGCAAAAUAUUGAAGCAAUCUUCCAGAGUAUACUUGAAUUGAAAAAGAAAUAGAUAACAGAAGGGCAAAAGCUAAUUCCUAAUUAUGAUGUGAAGUAGCUAUUUACCAUGAAGUCAAGCUUCUGCAGGGGUGGUAUCACUAAGAUCUUUUGCCAAAACAAAAGACACCUCUCACAGACAUUCAACUCCAGAGAUCCAAAACCCCCCUCAUCUCAGUGAUUCAACCACUGUGUAAAGGUAAAAAAACUCCCUCUCAAGGUUUUGUUUCUCAGAUUUCAUCAUUCUCUAUUUGGGACACUUGCUAUCUGAUGAAUGUGUAGAAUACUUUGCUUCAAUGUUAUAGUGGUUGAUGCUUUUUUUAUGGGCUCCAUGGAAUGGUUUGUGUAAAGAUAGAUUUAUGAAGAGGGCCUUGGUAAAUUUCACAAUCUAAUGGAUGGAAAAUUGAGCUGAAGGGAAGCUUUAUUCUAUUGAAGGAAGAUAGUAUUGGUUUAAUAAGGGUGUCCUGAGUAUCUCAGUAAGCUGUCUGAAAACCUUUUACAAUAUGUUUGGAUCGAGUGAAAGGAGUUUUUAAAGUAAAGAUAAACUAAUGGCAAGUAAGGUAUUAACAGUUUAACACCUCUAUAACCCACCAAUUUGGUACUUUGGAAAAGUGAGUUUUUGAAAGUUCUAAACGUCUGGAAACCUUACCUCCUUUAAACCAAUAAAAAAAAAGUCUCCCAAACAAACUCACUGCUUCAGAAAUCCACAUCUUACUUCCAAAACAUCCACCCAAACAAAUUAAUGUUUUUGAAAUCGUGUUACAGGGAUUUAGAAUGAGAAAUGGGUGACAUUAGCAAUUGAAUUAAAAAUGUUUCAAUCUUUUUAGCAGUUCAAUUAACUUGAAAAUUAAUGGCUGAACUGUUGUGGGUCCUCAUUUCUAUAUGAUAUCAUCGCAAGGAAAUUUGCAAUUGAAGAAAAAGUUGAGAUAAGAAUUUUUGUGCAGUUAUAAUAAAAAAUGCAAAUCCCAGAAUUUACAGUAUAUAAGUACAAUAAUAACAUCACCAUUUGAUGUUUUGUGAUUGAGAUUGAUCAUUUCUCUAUGAAUAUUUGUUUGCAUUUUGGAGUUCUAACUUUAUUGUUUUCCAUUGUUAAUUUUGAUUGUGUCAUCCAGAUACAUUGCCAGAGGUGAUAAUGUUGUUGUGUACAAUUAAGCCUUUUUUAAAUAUUUUUUUUCCUUUUGAUAAUGGUUUUGUAGAUUAACUGGCUUUCUUUGGACAUGAAGGUAGACACUUUUGAUAAAUUAGCUGACAACUUUGGGGCUACAUGACAAGCUUCUUUUUGUCUGUAUGUUUGGAGAAAGUAUAACAGGUUUCUAGUUGAUAUUGCUAUCAUGCCUUCUUUGACAUAGUUCUCUGCAUAUUUGCCUUUUUCAAUCAUUUGUAUGAUUUAACUGAAACCUAAUCCAACAUAUCCCACCAAUCUGCUUAUUGACCUAUAGCCUAAGAAUAGGGAAGUUGAUUCCCUUAUAUCUUAACUGUGCAUAAGGAACUGAAAAUCUAUAGACUACAAGUGAUGUGUUGCAAGGUGUUUCGACCAAUUGAAAUGUUAAAAUAGUAGCAUUCAAUAAUAUGUUAUAUUCUUCUCUGUAUAUUAAUUUACGGGUUUACAUAAUUUUCCAUUGGGCAGAAAUCUUUCCCUAUUGGAAUAACAUAAAAAAGAUCAUACAACUCAUGAAUCUCAAACACCACUGCCAUCCUAGAGUGAAGACAAAAUGCAAAUGCCGUCACUUAUUAAAAUUGAGCUCAAAUAUUCACAUUGAAAAAGUGGAUCCAGAGAAAACAAAUCUUAACAAAGGAAAGCAGGUCCACAAACAACCCAAAUAAAACAGUAGAUGAUGUAAUGUAAGCCACAAUCUCAGCAAAUCAGAAAAACCAAAAUCGAUAUUAGCAAUCUUUGAAUCUGAACACCCAAAAUUAACAAUCUUUGAAUCUGAAAACCCAAAAUUAACAAUCUUUGAAUCUGAAAACCCAAAAUUAACAAUCUCAGCAAAUCCUAUGAAUCCGAUACUUCAAUAUCAAGACAUAAUCGAAAAUGA